GCCAAAUUUCCUAUAUGCUCCAAGAAUUCUCAAAAACAUGAAUUUUCAAUUUUUUUGGUACAAUGGUCUGCAUAAAUGGUCUGAUUAAAAAGUCAUCACAUAAAAUAGAUACAUAUUUAACACAAAGUUGUUAUACCUACAAGAUUACAAAAAUACUUAGGAUGACUUCCUAACUUCAUCUUCCUAGUGUCUAAUUCGUCCUGCAUAUGCUGAUUCCCAUACUUUUGCAUCUUCAGUAUAAUUUUGUCUCCAACAAUCAGUGACGGGUGACAAUGGACUAUCAGGUUUCAAUUUUACUUGAACCCAAUGAUUCUCAUUAACAAAACCAACAACAAUGAUUUUAUGCCUGGUCCUAUACACAGGUGGAGCAAAUUUAAGGGGAAAACGUAAUGUUAAGUCUCUUUAACAGGGAGACAAAUACGGCAUUGUACCUACUAGCAAUAGGGUAACCCAUAUCAGGAAUCGUCAUCCAUUUUUCUUGAUCCUGCACAUCCAAGUGUUCUACUUUUAAGGCAUUUCUAACUUCAGAGACCGUGUCAUAGAACAAACUGGAAAAUAAUUUAGGGUGUUGAUGAAAUUGAGUAUCUAACUGCGUCCGAACCAACAACCAUGUCUCUUCGCCCCAUCCAAGCAAAAAUGCAAUAAUUCGAAAACCACAAUUUGCAUCAUCACCCACAUCAAAAAUGUCAUCAAUGUAUGUAUGCCAGAAACCAGAAAAUUAAGACAAGUAAAGAUGCCUCAAAGAUACAGUGGUCAGUUGACUUUGACCUGACAGACUUGAAGGUUGACUUCCCGUUGGUUUCGUGCAUGAUCUCUUUGUAGUUUGACUCCCCUGCGAGCAUUCAUCAUACUCUCGCUGUGAAAGAUCACGAUGCACAUCACGAUGCACAUCACUCUCUUCACCCUUUCUAUUAUUCUUAACUCCCCUCUUUGCCUUAUACUUCACCGGUGGUAGACACAUCGAAGUUGUGGAUGGAUGUGUUACUCCCUCCGUUCCUUUUUAAGUGUCACUUUCUUGACAAAAAAUUGUUCCUUUUUAAUUUUAACUUCCAAAGUUCAAGGUAGUAUUAAUUGUACUUUUGUCAAAAUUAUCCCUAGGUAAUUAUUACAGAGAGAUAAAAAGUUAAAUGAAUGUAAUAAAUAAUUAAGGGUAUUAUAGGUAAAAGUAGAGUUAUUAUUUGAAAAGUAACAAUAAUGAUUAGCUUUCUUGAUAUGUGUAAAAAGUCAAAAAAUGACACUUAAAAAGGAAUUGAGGGAGUAGUUCUCUAACCCUUUUUCUUCAACACCCUCUGGCCUACAAUAUCCAAAGAAUUAAAAUAUGUCUUCAAAUCUUCACACUCUACUUCUAAAUCUAACUUUGUACCAGUAUCUUCAUGAUUAACACCAUGCUCUUAAAUGUGUAAUUUCUUCCAAAAAAUAUGAAUUUGAUCUAAAUGAACAAGUUUGUCUUGUAUUUGGAAACUGACAAGUUGACAAGCACAAGGUAACCCAUGCAUUGUUCUAAUGAAGCAACCACAAGCAUCUCUGGUUGUACCAACAAAUUUUACCCUUUCUAGUUCCUUCCCUAUAUGCUGUAUACACUGCCUUGAAAAAAAACCGUGCAAGUUGGUAUAGAAUGGAGUGUUAUACUGAUGCUUAAUGUUGACAAUACUUUUUUCGAACGACGCCCUGAUUGAACCAAGCUGCAACUUUAACAUAGUGUUCACAAUAUCCUAAUUUCGGCAUAAAUCUCUCAGGCUUGUAGCCAAUAUGUUUUUUAGUCUCCAAUGAGCAGACUCCACCCUGUUCAUUGUUAUGUUACCUAAAUGAAUGACUCUGAUAGUCCAAGCAGCAACAAACAUUUCUUUAUAAGAUGUCAACCAUGUUUCAAUCACAUACUUAACAAACAAAGGAAUAUAAGCACAUAUAGUCUCAAAGUGCUCCAAGUGUGCGACAAACCCAAUUUAUCUAUUAGCAUACAUGAUGUUGUUCCAUAGAUCUAUGACAUGCUCAUGUCUUUCUGAUUUAACAUACUAUUUACAUUUCAUGCUAACAUUUUUUUGAAAUAUGGAACGAACAUAACAUAUGAGUUGAAUUUGAAAACACAACUUCAAUUGCAUUCAUCAAUGCAAGUUCUCAAUCUGUCACCACAAUAUUAAGUAGCAAUUUCUCUAAAGAUAACAACUCUUUGAGCUUCUCCAGUGCCCAUUUGAAGUUUUCCUCCCUUUCAUGCUCCAAAUAGGCAAAGCCUACCGAAAACAUGAAUUUUGUUGACGUAACACCAAUAACCUCUAGCAGUGGUAGCCGAUACCUAUUUGUCUUGUAUAAUAAAAAAUCAACACUAAGUGAAACAUAUUCAAUUACUUCACUAGAUUAGGAUGUGUCCAGCAACAACAACAUUUGAGUCUUUCCUAUUUCUCUUUAUGAAUAAGACUCAACAACAUUUGUAUUUCCGUCAAUGAACAUCUCUUGCUCGCAUUGUAUGUGGCAAAAUAUAUUUUGUAUGUGGUGAAGAACUGCAUACAAUCGCUAUAUGAAUCUGUAUAUGAUAUUGCCGACUCCAGACCACACAAAUAAAACAUUUUUUGAAAGUUAUGUCCUGUUAUUGAAAUUUUCAAAUAUACUCAAAAAAAUUGGUAUACCGCAAAUUUAGAAAUUUUUGAAAAUUGUUGUUUGUCCACGAAAAUUUUGAGAAUUUCCUAUAUUGUAUAUCGGAUUUUUUUUAAAAUUUCUGAUAUUUUUACCGUAUUUUCCCAAAUUUCCGAUAUUAAUGUGUGACUUCUGAAAAAUGAAAAAAAAUUACGUAUCAAAAAUUUCAAAAUAACUACUGAAAAUUUCGUUUUUAUAAAUUUGAAAAAUUAAAAAUUAUAAAAAAAAAAAGUAAAAUUUAAAGUGUAAAUAUUAAUAAGAGUAUUUUAAAAAUAUUAAAAUAUUGAAAAAUGUCAUAUAUAAUUAAGGGGUGCCAAGAAGAGAAUUUUUUACAAAAAUAACCCAAUUUUUCAAGGAAAUUCCCAAAAUACCCCUGGUUUAAAAAAAAUCUCAAACUACCCCACUUUUAGAAGGAGGCGCCAAUUCAAUUGGCGACUCCACUUAAAAAUUGAAUGGAGGCGCCAAUUGGAUUGGCUAGGGCAUGUGCCCUAGCCAAUCCAAUUGGCGCCCAUGUGUAUUUUUACAAAGGAGACGCCAAUUGGAUUGACACCUCAGUGUAAAAUGCAUUUUUUUGACUAAAUGGUCUACGUGAUACAUAAUUUUGAAAUAAGACCAAUUGAUGUUAAUAAAAUUUUCCGUUUACACAAAAAAUCCUAAUGGUGGUGACCGGGAUCACCUAACCGACCUCCGGUCGCACAUCCCCUAACUACCCUAACCCGUGGCCCUAACCCACAUUGAUGAUUAACUACUAGUGUUUGAGCAUCUGAGGGGCCAGGAGCGUCACUACCAAUUACAGGAGAUGGCAUGUUGAGGUAGUCAUACAAGUCGGCAUAGUCUUCAGUAUGCAACGAGGAUGUACCGUCGUAGCUGAGUUCAUGACCCAUGCCAGAGUAGUUAGGUUGUGGUUGACUCAUUGGUGGGCGACCAGGACGGUUGAAGGGAGACAUGGGUGUGAAUGAUGCGUCGAGGAAAGGUUUAAAAGGUUGUUUGGGUGUUUGGUAUAGAUAUGGUUGUUGGAGGUUUUGGUUUUGUGAGGUUUGGGCUUCUUGGCUAUGAUAGGAAGAGGGGCGGUUGGUGUUGAAUGAUCGUUGGGUGUUCUGGCUAAGACGACUUUGGUAGGGUGAUGUGGUGGGUGCAAAGCGAUGUUGGGUCUUAGGUUGAUGGUUAAUUUAUUGGUGGUGGUAUGGGGUAUGCUCUUGGUAUUAGGGUUUGGUGUAUGACAUGUUUUGGUUGUAUGUUUAUGUGUUGGUUGAACGGAAUGUUUGACGGACAGGGGGUUGUGUGUAUCCGGUCUGACAAUGUUGUUGGGGGUUUGAUGUUGAGGUGUCAGGUGUGUAAGUUUAUUGGUGUGGGUCGUACAGGUACAUAUCAUCGGCGAUGAACUGAAAACCAACCGAUUUGUACCAAGCCAUAUAAGUACGACUUGGUUUUUCUUCAUUUGGCAUGACUGCGUCAGUUAAGACAUGGUCAUGGCGGUGCUUCCAUUUGUGACACUCCGAUCUUGCAAAGCUUUGCCAUGGAUUGAAGUUUCAUUGGUCGUUAACUUUGCGCACAUGCCAUUCUCCUAGGUUUGCUAGGAUGUUUUGGGGCAUACCAAACGACAGCUUCACACAAUCACUGUUGUGCAUCUCCACAGUUGUGAAUCGUAUUAUCGGUGUGCAUGUAGUCCAUACGACCGCGUCUUCAGCAUUGACCUCAUGGUCAUGAUCCAAAUUAAGGUAUGGACGCCAAAUGAACUGAGAUGUGAAAGAAAAUAGGAUUAUAAUCUAGGUAGAAGAAGUUAACAAAAUAUAACGAAAUAAUGAGGUUAUUAUCCUUACGUCUGUCGGUCGAAGGUGAUCCAACAGAUUGCGAUACAGAGUAAUACAGUGUCUAGGACAUCUGUUAUAACUCAUACCACGUGCAGACCCCAAAAAGGUAAAAAAAAUUAGUUAGAGAUAAUAAUCUUUAAAGAAGUAAGUAAAUAUAUAGCAAUUUAAACAACUUACUUUUGUGCAUACGGGAAUGUGAAAGGGUUGUUGUUGACGGGUGCUAGGGACGACAGUCUUGACCAACCACAUGCUUGGAGAAAAACAACACAUCCAGAAAAUAUAGAUGUGUCUUUGUGUGAGUUUUUGCAUAAGGAGCUAUUGAGAUAGGCUCCACUACCUUCGGGAAAUAAAAAAGAACCAAUUAAAAGCAUAAUGUAACACCUAGUUUUUAUUAUUCGAGCAUCUUCGGUAGAAUGCUCAUCUAAGUAUAAACUAUUAUAGUAUGACUUAAGGCGUGAAAGGAGUAUACCUUGACCUCUUGAGUUAUCAUCUAAAAAAUCAGUCUCCAAGAGGUCCAUGCAAAUUGAAUUUUCAUAGUUGGUUUUACCAUUAACAACCUUACCUUCAAUGAGCAGUCCCUAAAAGCAUGUAGACGUCUUCUAACAGUACACUCACCGGUUGGGAACCAAAACAUGUGUGUCUCUAGAUGCCAUCUUUCGCAUAAAGCAAGAAUGAAUUUGUUAUCUACCGACCAAGACAAAAUCUUGCUUAUAUGACCAAAACCGGUGAGUUCAACAUAAGGUUGAAUCAUCGGGUCCAUAUGGACAUAUUCGUGGACCCGAGUCCGGAACCUUGAAAUAUCCUAUAAACGAAAGAACAAAAAACUUUACUAAGUUGGUAUGUUAUUAAAAGGGACUCUAUUAAAACAAAUAACAAAAGAAGAAAACGCUUACAUAAGUUACUAUGUUUGCAACUGUUCCUCUAUGCGAUUCGCCCAUAUGGACCAAAGAAGAAUGUGUGUGAGCUAUCAAAAAAUUCCACAUGAACAACUCUGCUGAUUUUACAGUGAAACACACUGAUUCGAGAAGGUAUGUCAUCGGAUGUCGUAAUAUCCUUUGUAAGUUUCGGUUGGAUGCGUCUUACAAAAAGAAAAACGACUCUUGGGAGAUCGCUUCAAUAGACCCACCUCACAGUUGCAUUGCAACUAACGUUGAACAAGAUCAUCGUAAACUAAGCGCUGCAUUGAUAUGUCAAGACAUUCUGCCGUUGGUUAAUAAAGACCCAUCAGUGAAGGUGAGUAUAAUUAUAUCCCAUAUCAGAUCAACAUAUAAUUAUACUCCAUCUUACAAGAAAGUCUGGAUUGCGAGGACAAAGGCUGUUGAAUAUGUGUUCGGCAACUGGGAGGAUUCAUACAAAGAAUUGUCAGGGUUUUUAUGGGCACUAAAAACAUAUAUCCCAGGAACUAUGGCAAUUAAGGAGACAUUUCCAGCAAUGAUGCCAGGCGGAACCUGUGUUACAGGUAAUAGAAUCUUUCACCGUCUCUUUUGGGCAUUUGACCCAUCCAUCAAAGGUUUCACAUUCUGCAAACCUACUAUUCAAAUUGAUGGCACUUGGUUAUACGAUAAAUACAAGGGUACUUUGCUUAUGGCGGUUGCACAAGACGGCAACAACAAUGUCUUUCCCAUUGCCUUUGCUCUGGUUGAAGGUGAAACGGCUGGUGGAUGGGGUUUCUUUCUUCGACAUCUCAGAACGCAUGUGGCUCCACAAGCCAAUCUCUGUUUGAUUUCUGAUAGACAUGUUGCCAUUGAGAGUGCCUACAACAACCAUGACAACGGAUGACAUGAUCCUCCUUCUACCCAUAUCUAUUGCAUUAGACAUAUUGCACAAAACUUCAUGUGUGCAAUAAAAGAUAAGAAUCUUCGCAAGAAGGUGGUAAAUGCUGGGUAUGCUCUAACUCAGCCGCCAUUUCAAUAUUAUCGUGAUGAAAUUAGACUGUCUAAUGAAGACACAGAAAGAUGACUAAAUAACAUACCAGUAGAGUAGUGGACAAGGGCAUUUGACAGAGGUUGUCGAUGGGGCCACAUGACAACAAACCUUGUGGAAUGCAUGAACGGGGUAUUCAAAGGAAUUAGAAAUCUGCCAGUAACCGCCUUGGUAAGAUCGACCUAUUAUAGGUUGGCUUCUACGUUCGCAACCAGAGGUCAAAGAUGGAGUGCAGUGUUAAUGUCCGGGCAAGUAUUCAGUGAGUGUUGCAUGAAAGUUAUGAAAGAGGAGAGUAUCAAAGCUAGCACACACGCUAUAACAGUCUUUGACCGUUAUAGGCAAAAUUUCAGCGUCCAAGAAACAAUGGACCACAAAGAGGGGAGACCAAAUUUAGCCUAUGGUGUUAGACUAAACAAAAGUUGGUGCGAUUGUGGAAAAUUCCAGGCCUUCCGCAUUCCUUGCUCCCAUGUCAUUGCAGCAUGCGCAUAUACUCGUCAAGACGCUUACAACCAUUUAUCUGAUGUGUACAAGGCCGUCACCGUCACCCAUGUCAUUGCAGCAUGCGCAUAUACUCGUCAAGACGCUUACAACCAUUUAUCUGAUGUGUACAAGGCCGUCACCGUCAUGAAUGUAUAUAAUAAAAGCUUCUCGGUACUACCAAUGGAGGAAUAUUGGCAUUCAUAUGAAGGUGAUAUAAUUUAGCACAACAACGAGAUGCGUAGAAAGAAAAAAGGAAGGCCAAAUAGCACACGUAUCAGGACAAAAAUGGAUUCGACAGAUAAAAUGAUAAGAUUAUGUAGUAUUAGUCGUCAACCAGGACACAACAAGAACAAUUGUCCCAAUCGAGGAGCAUCAUCUGGGUCAUAAGCUUUUUGUAACAUUCUUUUUCUGUAACCUUCAAUCAUUAUAUAUCAUACAUUUUUUGUUACAACGAGGUUCACAACAAACAUCAGUACAAAAUAAGCUAACUGAAAACAAAAAUAUUUCUAACUGAUUACAACAAUCAAAUUGAUGUCAUCUCGACCGAACAUCAUUCCCUAGCAUCCUUAUCAGUCUUCAUUCGCACCCAACCAAAUAUACUAUUGAGUCUCUCAAUACUUCUAAUUUUUUCCCCUUCUGGUAUUUUCCCAUCUAACCAACAAACCAACUCCUUAUUCAGUUGCUCGAAUGUAGUGAUGUUCCAAAAGAGCAUCAACGUCUGAGGUUUGUCUCUCGCAUAAAUCACCUUUCCGUAUCGGCGACGAACACCAAACGUGAUUGUCAAAUGAUUAAAUGAGAUGUGGAAGAAUGACUCACACAACACAUCUAUUUAUAACAAAAAAAUUGCAUUUUACACUGAGGUGUCAAUCCAAUUGACGCCUCCUUUGUAAAAAUACACAUGGGCGCCAAUUGGAUUGGCUAUGGCACAUGCCCUAGUCAAUCCAAUUGGCGCCUCCAUCCAAUCUUUAAGAGAAAUCGCCAAUUGAAUUGGCGCCUCCUCCUAAAAGUGGAGUAGUUUGAGAUAUUUUUUAAACCAGAAAUAUUUUAGAAAUUUUCUUGAAAAAAUGGAUUAUUUUUGUAAAAAAUUCGCAAGAAGAAUUCGCUCAAGUAAGAUAUUCUAUACAGUCCAACAUUAAUAAAGGGAAUGUGUAAAAGAAAUGUAAAAAAUAUGAUGGGUGAAUAAUUUAGGAGAGGCUAGUAUAUCAUCGAGACAUUUUAUAUAUUAAAAAUAGUUAUAAAUAAAUAAAAGUGAGAAUUUUACUCUAAAAACUUUAUCUAUAAUUCUUAAUAUUUUUUAAAAUAUCAUUGAUUUAUAGAUAUUAAUAAUUUAUUUACAUUAAUAUAUUAUAUUAUAAAAAAUACAAUAAAAAUCUACUGAAAAGAAUUAAAUCAUUAACCAUUACUUACAUUUAUUUAUUUCAAUUAGCAUUUAUACAAACUGAAUUCAAUAAUUUUAAUAUUUAUACUUAUUAAUUAUUAAUUUAUGUAUUAAAAAUUCAAUUUUACAAAAAAUUAACUAAUUUUUUAAAAGAGAAAAUAGUUUUCUAAAAAAUUCAAAAGUUAUACUUUUUCUAAAACAUAUUACUUUUAUAUAUAUAUAUAUAAGAAAACUCAAAAUUUUAGUUUUCGAAAAUAAAUUUAUCAUAGAAUUUUCUAGAAACUAAAAAGAAUAAAUUAAUUUUUUUGAAAGUUGUGGGAGUUCAGGGGAACAAAAGGACAUAUUUCUAAAAAGUCAAUAUGAUGUUAGCAAGAAAUGAGCAUGUGAGCCUUUUACAUAACCAUGUGGACUUGUCUUGCUUGGAGCCCACUAAGAAAAGGUUGAUGGAGUCUACUUCCAAUAACAGCCCAACACAUAGAUGGUUAUUGCUAUUGAUAAGAACCAAACACUAUCAACAAUGAUGUUUCAAUUCAUAACUGCCAAAUCUAUUAUAAGACGUUUUUAUUGGUAGGUCUUACUAGUUAUGCAUACCAGAAUCUAUGUUUGUUUGUCAAUCUAGAUAACUUGGGUGCAAUUCCUCAUUUGAUAUGACAAAAAAAUCAUGAUAAUAAAAAUACUAGAUAUUUUAAGUGAAUAGAUGUGUAUAUAUAUCUAAGAUGGUUAGAUGACACUGAUCUGUCCAAAAUGUCCUUUCAUGUCUAGAAAUUUUAUACUUGUAAAAGCCUAUUGGUAAUUAACAAAUAAUAUUAAAUAACACUCAAAAUAAUUUCUUAUAUCACAAGGAAGAGAGAUUAAUAAAGAAUAAAAUAUAUACAACUUAGUGGUGAUAAUUAACACUGGAAUGAAAUUUAGUGGAUUUUCAUGGAAAGCAAUUGCUACCGGAUGCAAGAAACUCACUCAUCUCGAAAACAAUGGAUGUCACAACAUUGACUUCAAAUUUAGUGGAAAAUCACGCUAGUAUGUUUUGUGACUAUAUUCUAAUAUUAGCUCAUGGUUUAUUUAUUUAUUUAAUUAUUAUUAUUAUUAUUUUAUUUUUUUAAGUUUAAGUUGAUUUACAAUUUUCAAAAAGGAAAGUAAGUUUGGAAGAUUUUCAAUUUUAUCAUCUAUCUAUCAACAUGUUAAUGAAUUUUUGUCGAUUGUGAUUUUAUCAUCUAUUUAAUUAUUAACAUCUUCUAUCAUUUUAAAGUUGUAGGUUAAAAAAAGAGUUAGAUACGCUCUGUAUAACAUAUAUAUAUUCCAUUUAUGAUCAUGGAUGAUAGACAUGUGGCAUAAAAAAUUCGGAUACUCAUCGUUGGAUAAUUAAUUUUUUAUGCGUGUUUAUUUUUAAAAUAGAAAAAAAAUAUAAAAUAAAAUAAAAUUGUUUUAUCAAAAAAACUUAUUAUUUAUAAAAGAAAAAUAUAUUUUAAUUUAUAAAUGGAUUAAAAAAUAAAAAUAUUUAGAUUAAAAAAAACCUGUUCUCAUUAAAAAAAAUAUUAAGAUUUAUUCAUUAAUUUUAAAAUUACAUUUGUCAUUAAUAACAUUUAUAUUAGUGAAAUAAUUAAUUAAAAAACAUUUUUUAGAAAUUAUCUUUAAAAAUAUUAUAUCUUAAAAAUAUAUAUAUUUUAAAAAAUAUUAAGAACAUGAAAAAUUAAAAAAUAACGUAUUUUUCCCGUGUUUGGAUUCAUAUAUUAUUUUAAAUAUAUAUAUAUAUAUUUUUUAUUUUUUAAUUGUAUAAAAAAUAAUAAUAACCCGUAAGUUUGCACGAAAUCUGAUCUGAAUACAUGUGCAUUUGUACAUGUAUCGGUGUGUUACACACAUUUAUUUCAAAAAUAUAAUAAGAAUAUAAAAAAAAUUGUUUAUCGAACGGUUUUAUUAUUUAUAAAAGAAAAAUAUAUUUUUAUUUAUAUACAAAUAAAAAUAUUUAGAUUAAAAAAAAUUGUUCCCAUUUAAAAAAAAACAAAAAAUUUAUUCAUUAAUUUAAAAUUAAUAUUUACCAUUAAUAACAUAUAUAUUAGUGAAAUAAAUAGUUAAAAAAUAAUUCUAUAUAUUAUCUUAAAAAAUAUUGUAUCUUAAAUUAUAAAUAAUUUUAAAAUAAAAGUAUUAAUAGCCUAAAUAAUUAAAAAACAACAAUUUUUUCCUAUGUUUGGAUUAAUACAUUAUUUUAAAUAUAUUUAUUUUUAUUUUCUUUAAUUAUAAAAAAAAAUGUAAUAAAGAUCUGUGAACCAGACAUUUGUUUGCUACAUGUAAAAUACCUGUGAAAAACCAGCAUAAAAUCUAGUUACAAAGCAAUGAAAAAAAAUAGAGUACAUUUGACUAAAUUUUGUUUAUGUACCAUGCAUCUGAAUAAAUUCCAAGCUUAAGACCUUUGUUGUGUACAUAAUCUGCUAGAGCUUUAAUAUCAGAAAUAAAUGUUGAGUUCUUUGCCACCAUAUUGCCUUGUAACACAACAAUGUUUGUCAGAAACAAUUUUAUUUAAAACUUUCAGAAAUCAAAUAAGAAAACACAGUAAAAAACAAAGGAUCUAUGCCUUAUCAUCGCGAUUAAGUUCAGCCCAACAAUCAUCUACAACAACAAACAAUUGAAACAAAUAAUGAUAAUACCUAUUUUGACAUAGGUGUAUCCAAGCUUAGAUAGACCAGUAGAAAUAAGAGCAUCAACUGUAAAUCCAUUCACCAAAUUCACAAAACCAAAUGCUAAUUUUUCAAAUGUAUACUUACUAAAUAACUUUAUACAAAUCCAUCAAUUAAAUCAUCAUUGUAUGUAUAUACAGCAUAAACCAUAAAUGACCAAAAAUACCAAUUUGUGAGAUUAUUUUUUCAUCAAUUUUGUUGAAUUGUAAUUCCUUGUGUCGAAGCAGGUUGUUCGACAGAAGCAAGGAAAUGUCGAAUCAUCUAGUGUCUUGAGUUGUAUUAGUGUCGAAGUGUCGAAACAUGUUGCUUCACACAGGAUUUCGACUUAGGCCUAUUUUUAGUAGUGUUAACUAUUUUGGGCUUUUAUAGUUUUGGGCUUUGGCUUGAGGUGCUAGCUAACCUAAAUCUAUAAAUAAAUGGAGUAACCUUUAUUCUUGUAAUGAAGUGAAUAGAGCAUUCAUAAUAUUGUAUUCACAUUAUUUUGCAGUUGAAAAGUGAAUAAGAAGUUUUCCAUAGUUUGUGGAUAGAGAGAAACUCUACAGAUUUUUAUUACUUUUCUCCUUCGUUCUUUCUUUCUUUCUCCAUUGUUCUUCUCCUUUCAUUGUUAUUGUGUGGGUGAUAACAAUCUUGUUCAUCAAGAUUGAUUAAAAUUCUUCAUAGGUUGUGGUGGAUUUCGAACAUCUGAUAUCAAGAGCUCCGGUUUAAACGAUUCGUAGGAAGAAAAUCACCAUGACAAUGAAUCAUCCAAACCGGCAUUUUCCAGCAAAUCUUCUGAUUUUCAAGAACAACAAUUAUGAGAAUUGGUGCAAGCAGAUAAAGGUUGUGUUCUGUUAUCGAGAUCUUUGGGAUCUUGUGAAGGAAGGAGUAACAACGCUUGUAGAAGACGCGACAGAUCAAGAAAAGGUUGUACAUAAAAAAUUGAAGAAGAAAUAUUAUAAAGCUCUCUUUAUAAUCCAUCAAUGUGUUGAUGCAUAUAACUUUAAAAAUGUUAGUGAUGCAGAGUCAGCGAAAGAAGCAUGGGAAAUUCUGGAGAAGUAGUUUGGAGGUGCGGAGAAGGCGAAAAAGGUGAGGUUAUAAACUCACAAAAGGACGUAUGAAUUGCUUCAGAUGGAAGACAAUGAAAGCAUAACUAAUUUUUUCACCAAGGUUACGAAACUGGUGAAUCAAAUCAAGGUAUAUGGAGAAGUGUUGACAUCAAGAUCCGUUGUUGGAAAGAUCUUGAGGUCGUUGGCUCCAAAGUUCGACCAUGUGGUAGUAGCCAUAGAAGAGUCGAAGGAUUUGUCAAAACUGACGAAGGAAGAGCUUCAAGGGAUGCUUGAAUCUCAUGAACAAAGAAUGGCUGAAGGAGCUGCAGGAAAGUCGAAGAAUGAUAUGGAUUUACAGGCGCAAUUAGCAAAAGAAAGGAAAGACAAAGGAAGCUGGAAUGACAACAAAGGCAGAGGAGGCUACAACAAUUCGACUGGUCAAAAUCAGCAAGAAAGAAACUGGUCAAAUCAGAGAAAACCCUGGAACCAAGGCAACCAAAGAGGUAGUGUUGCAGGUAGAGAAAGAGGUGGUGGUCAAAAGUCAAACAAGAGUCACAUUUAGUGUUACAAUUGUCAGAAGUAUGGUCACUAUUCUAGUGAUUGUCCAGAAAAGCAAAAGAAUCAAAAACCUUAUGCAAAGCUGGCGAAGCAUGAAGAAGAAGAGACACUGCCGAUGGUUACAACAAGAGAUGAAGAGAGAUUCAAGGAUCAAUGGUACUUGGACUCAGGAUGCUCAUCACACAUGUUCAGAAGGAAAGAUUGGUUUAUUAACAAAAAUCCCUCAAUGAAGAACAUGGUGAAAUUUGCAAAUGAUAACACUCUAGCAGCUGAAGGUUUUGGUGAUGUUCUGAUUAUUAGGAAAGAUGACAAGAGGUCAGUAAUUUCAACUGUGUUGUACAUACCAGGCAUGAAGUGCAAUUUUCUCAGCAUAGGGCAGUUAGUAAAAAAGAAAUACAAGGUGUCGAUAGAAGACAAGAUGAUGAGAGUUCUCGACUCAAAUGGAAGGUUGAUCUUGAAGGCUCCAACGUAACAGAAUAGAACCUUAAAGAUUGAGCUUAAUGUGAUGAAGCAUAAGUGCCUUGCAACAACAACCAAUAGAGAUGAAAGGAUAUGGCAUUAUAGACUUGACCAUCUCAAUUUCAAAGACAUCAGAGAUUUGAAGAAAAGAAAUAUGAUUUCAGGAUUACUAGAAAUCGACAUUCCAAACGAAGUGUGUGAAGAAUGUGUGCAAGUGAAGCAGCACAAGAACAACUUCAGUAAGGAUGCAGGAAGCAGGUCGAAGGCAAUUCUUGAAGUCAUAUACUCUGAUGUAUGUGGUCCUCUCCAGGUGGAUUCGAUUGGAGGUAACAAAUACUUUGUUACAUUCAUAGAUGAAACAACUUCAGUAAGGAUGCAGGAAGCAGGUCGAAGGCAAUUCUUGAAGUCAUAUACUCUGAUGUAUGUGGUCCUCUCCAGGUGGAUUCGAUUGGAGGUAACAAAUACUUUGUUACAUUCAUAGAUGUGUUCAGUCGAAAAUGUGGUCUUACCUGAUCAAGAAGAAAAGUGGUGAUCGAGGUAUUUUCCAAGUUUAAAUCUAUGGUCGAAAGACAGAGUGGUCAAAAGAUCAAGAUUUUGAGGACUGAUGGUGGUGGAGAAUAUGUGUCAAAAGAAUAUGGUUAGAAGUAUAUUGAAAGGCAAACAUCUACUCAAAGAGUUAUGGGGAGAAGUUGUGUCGACUGCGAGAUAUAUCAUGAAUAGAUGUCUGACAAAGAAGCUAGAAGGAAUCACGCCAGAGAAUGUUGGUCUGGUGUCAAGCCUAGCUUGAGUCAUCUGAAGGUGUUUGGAUCUAUAGCACAUAGACAUGUGCCAGAUCAGUUGAGAAGAAAACUUGAUGACAAGUCGAGUCAAAUGAUCCUGAUAGGAUAUCAUUUGACUGGAGGAUACAAGUUGUUCGACCUAGUGAAUAAGCAAGUGGUGAUACAUAGACAUGUGCCAGAUCAGUUGAGAAGAAAACUUGAUGACAAGUCGAGUCAAAUGAUCCUGAUAGGAUAUCAUUUGACUGGAGGAUACAAGUUGUUCGACCUAGUGAAUAAGCAAGUGGUGAUCAACAGGGACGUGAUCAUAGAUGAGCUUAAGGAAUGAGAUUGGACUAAGAAUGUUAAGAAGGAUUUAGUGAAAAUAUUUUGUGAUGAACCAACUAGUGAAGUUGAAAGAGAAGUUCUACAAGAAAUCAGAGGUGAAGCAGACCCAAGCAGACCUCAAAGAAAAAGACACAUCCCUACAAGAUUGCAAGAAUGCGUGAUUACAUCAGAUGAUGUGGUCAAUGAAGAAGGUGAGAUGGUACAUUAUGCUUUAUACGCAGAUGUCGAACCAGUCAAUGCAGCUGAGGCAUUGAAAUAUUCGAAGUGGAUGAAAGCAAUGAACGAAGAGCUGAAGUCAACCAAAGUUAACAACACUUAGUCACUUGUCGAAUUGCCCCAAGACAAGAAGGAAAUAGAUGUGAAGUGGGUAUAAAAUGUGAAGUUGAAUCCCAUAGGAUAAGUGACUCGACACAAGGCGAGACUUAUGGUGAAAGGAUUUCUUCAGAAAGAAGGAAUCGACCUUGAUGAAGUUUUUUCACCUGUUGUUAGGAUCGAAACAAUCAGGUUGGUUGUUGGUCUAGAAAACAUAAACAACAGACAUAUGUGUCAGAUGGAUGUGAAAUGUGCUUCCUGAAUGACCCCUUAGAAGAAGAAGUUUAUGUUGCACAAUCAGUUGGGUUUAUGAAACAAGGCAAAGAAAGAAAGGUGUACAGGGUGCAUAAAGCCUUGUACGGACUUAAACAAGCUCCAAGAGCUUGGAAUAAGAAGAUAGACGACUUUCUAAGGGAGAAGGAGUUUGUGAAGUGCAAAUAUGAACAUGGAGUAUAUGUAAGAAGAAGCAAGAGUAAAUUUAUUAUACUAUACCUCUAUGUCGAUGACUUGUUGAUAACAGAUAGUUGUAAGAAAGAGAUCGAAGACUUCAAAAGUGAUCUCAACAAGAAAUUCGAAAUGUCAGAUUUAGGUGACAUUUCAUAUUUCCUUGGCAUCAAAUUCUACAAGAGUGGUAGAGGUUUGGUGAUGCAUCAAAGAAAGUAUGCAUGCGAAAUACUCAAGAGGUUUGAGAUGCAAGAUUGCAACCCAACUUCGACUCUAGAUGAGCCUAGAUUAUAACUGUCGAAAGAUUCAGAUGAAGAUGAUGUCGAUCCAAACCAAUAUAGAAGAAUUAUUUGGUCACUUCGAUACCUUUGUCACACAAGGCCUGACUUAGCAUACAAUGUAGGAAUCGUGAGUAGUUUCUUGCAGAGGCCAAAGGUGUCACAUCUAGCAGCGACGAAGAGGAUACUAAGGUAUCUGAAAGAAACUCUCGACUAUGGUAGUUUAGUUCCUGCAGCUGAUGAAGGAAAAGAAUGCAAAUUAGGGGGAUACACUGACUCAAGUUGGUGUAGUGAUGUUGAGGAUCGAAAAUCCACAGUUGGCUAUGUGUUUAUCCUAGGUGGUGCACCAGUUGCUUGGAGUUCGAGAAAGGAUCCAUUAGUGGCAUUAUCUUCGUGUGAUGCAGAAUACAUAAUUGUUUCCCUUUGUGCAUGUUAAGAAACGUGGAUGGUGAAUAUGGUCGAAGAGAUAACAGCGAAGAGUCAUGGAGCAAUUACCAUGAGGAUCGACAACAUGUCAGCUAUAAAUCUGGCGAAGAAUCCGAUAGCACAUGGUCAAAGAAAGCACGUCAAGAUGAGGUUCCAUUAUCUUCGAGGGCAAGUAACAGAUGGGAAGAUGAAUGUGGAACACUGCAGAACUGAGAAUCAGAUUGCAGAAAUCAUGACGAAGGGAGUGCAGGUCGAAGUGUCUAGAAGACUAAGAGCUAUGAUGAAUGUAGAUAGCUUAGACGCAAUGAAUUAGGUGGUGUAUUGAAUCAUAGUUCCUUGUGUCGAAGCAAGUUGCUCGACAGAAGCAAGGAAGUGUCGAAUCACCUAGUGUCUUGAGUUGUAUUAGUGUCGAAGUAUCGAAGCAUGUUGCUUCACACAAGAUUUUGACUUAGGCAUAUUUUUUAUAGUGUUAACUAUUUUGGGCUUUUAUAGUUUUGGGCUUUGACUUGGGGUGAAAGCUAACCUAAAUCUAUAAAUAGAUGGAGUAACCCUUAUUCUUGUAAUAAAAUGAAUAGAGCAUUCAUAACAUUUUAUUCACAGUAUUUUGUAGUUGCAAAAUGAAUAAGAAGUUUUCCACAGUUUGUGGGCAGAGAGAAACUCUGCAGAAUUUUAUUACUCUUCUUUUUCGUUCUUUCUUUCUUUCUUUAUCCAUUAUUAUUAUCUUUUCAUUGUUAUUAUGUGGGUGAUGACAAUCUUGUUCGUCAAGAUUGAUUGAAAUUCUCCAUAGGUUGUGGUGGAUUUCCAACAAAUCUGACAGGCAAAUGAUUCCAUCUAUUCCACCUGUAUAAAAAAAUCAGUAUCAUAAAUCUUUAGAUGCAUGUCUUAGGAUUCUUUGGUAAUUAAAAUAUUGUUACUGUAAAAUACAUUCAUAAUUUGGUGACAUACACACCCUAUAGGAGGAGUUCCAGCAAGACCAUUAGCAAGAAGUGACAUAAAUAAGCAAAAGGGUCACCAAAACCACCACUGUCUCAAUCUUUAUCCCCAUUUUCGACACUCUUUACCAGCAAUUAUGAGAAAAUAGAAAUAAUCAAAAUAAAUGUGUUUUGAAAUAAAGAGAAAACAUAUUUUACUCCUCCAUGAUGUAAAUCUUUUUUUCAUAAAAAAUUUCUAGAUAUAAAAAAGAAAUAUACAUGAAAAAGAAAACAUUAAAAAUGACAAUAACAAUGGAAAUAAAUGGGUAUGUACAGAUUGAUUUUUACCUGGUUCAACUUUGGGAUCUGAAAUGAAACAAUAACAACAACAAUGUUAAAUGUUCAAAACUUAGCCCCAAAAUAAAGAGUCAUGUAAAUGAAGCUGAAAAGAAAAAAAAACGAAACUAAAACGAAAAUGAGAGGAAAAUUAGUUUGAAGUUUAUACUGAUGAAAUAUUUGUUGAAAAAUUGAAAUCGAUUAGAGAAAUAGCCAAAGCAGUAGAGGAAAAUGGGUUUGGAAUGAAAUUUGGUGAAUAUAAAAUAGCAGUGCUAUCUGAGGCGAAGGAAGGUGGAAAAGCAAUACAAAAGCAAAACUAAAGGUCCGCAAAACAUUAGUUGAAAAUCAGAAAAUCAGAAGGCAUGGUGUUAGCAUGGGAAAUAGGAAUGAAUAUUUAAUAUAUUUUAAUUAUGUUUAAUAGAAAAAGUCACAAGGCAGAACGAAGUAUAAUAGCAUUCACCAGACCAAUAAAUUUUGAAAUUAGCAAUGACGUGGCCGCAUUAGGAAGAAGCAGGGAUUGAGUUGUAACUUCCAGAGCAUAAACUCUUCUUAUAUGAUAUAUAUUAAUAAUUAAAUAUAUAUUUAAUUAAAAAAUUAUUCACAUUUUCUCUUCAUUUUAGUGAUGUUAGUUACAUCAUAGUCUUUCCUUCAUUUUCCUCGUUGCUUACCGUUAAUUAAAUGUUGUCGUUUCAUCGUUGUCUAACCGGCCACGGCGCCCUUAAUUAAUUUAUCUAAUCUUUGCUAUGAGACACUAAUUUGCAAGACCAAAAGUAUUACAAGUUUACAACCUACAGUUUUCUCAGAGGAAUUUUUAGUUUUUCUGUCAAAUUUUUCUUCAAAGGAAUAUUGAGAGUCUCAUGAAUGAAAUUUCAAUGAAAAACAAAAUUACUUUUUAUAUAGAUAAAAUUUAUUUAUUUUACCGUGCUCUCGUUUGAUCUAAAGAGUUAUGACGCAGUCGGAAACAUUGCGGAUUAACAAGCGCUAAACCUAAAACAAAACACAAGUUUGCAAGCGAAAUACCUGUCAUAUAAAGCUCUAGAAUCCACCAGAAAGAGAAAAGAAACUCUUGAAUUUUAUUAAGAUUAAAGAUAACCUUGGCGGCCACACCCAAAGGUUUUUAAAUACUGAAAAAGAAAGUUUAAUGGGCUUUCAAUCCAAAACAAAAAUAAAAUAGAAAAAAGAAACCAUAAUGGGAUUUUAAUUAAAAUAAAUAAAUAAAUUAGAAAAUUGCAAAAAAUAUUUAAAUGUUGUUUUUGAGCCUGAAACAAACAUGGAUGGCUUAAAAAUCCUUUCUGCAUCAGUCUAUUCCACCUCUAAAGAACUCGACUCUGAGUUCUCUUUUGCCUAAGAGCCUCAUCUUCUUGAUAUUCAUGAAUGUCGGUGACACUAAAAGUAUUGGAUAUAUUCAUGAAAUAUGGGAGAGUUACCACAUAAACAUUAUCAUUGAUCUUUCGGGUUACUUUGAAUGAGCCAUACUUACGUGGUUGCAGCUUGCUGUAAAUACCAACUAGAAACCUCUCCUUACGCAUAAACACCAUCACAACGUCUACCAUAUUUAAAGCUUUAACUUUCUGACAUUUAUCUCGCAUAAGAGGCAAAUCGUUUGGUAGCUCAUAUGCGGUAAAUCACUUGAAAUCAUCUAGGAUCCCUAACACUUUUUUUGGAAUUGUUGUUUCCACCUUUAUAACACCCAUCAACCCUUUAGUCACCACUUGACAAAAAUAAAACAGUUUCUUUAACAGCCUCAUCAAGCUCCUUUUCACUAUGUGUCAUCACCAAGAAACUAGACUUCUUUCCUCUUGAAUUCUUAUCAAAAUGCAAAACAUAAGUCGUAACAACUUUAUAUGUGCCACAUGUAAACAUCAUCAUAUUAUUUCGUCCUCAAUAAGUGAUAUCAUUAUCAAAAUUUCAAUUCCUACCAAGUAAAAUAUGACAAACAUUCAUAUCAAGAACAUCACAAAAUACAUCUUCUCUAUAAUGUUUUCCGAUGGAGAUAGAAACUCUGCAAGCUAGUGUUACUCGAACUUAGGAGCAUGUGCUUACCCAACCGAGGGUGUAUGACUUCUCAUGGGCUUAUGUGGAUAACUUAAAAUAUUAUACCAAUUUAUGUGACACCUGAUUCUUCAUGUUGCCACUAUCGCACUCAAAUUACACACCUUGUUGAUAGAACAAAUUCUUGCGCUUCCUUUCAUCUUUGGAUGCUAGUAAAAUUCUCUGCAACAUAAAAUUUACCCUCUUAUCAUAUUCUUCCUCUGCAAACUCAACCCUUGCAUAUUCAUCGUUCUCAACUGCAUGUCCUACUUUUUCCUCUUCCUCUUCCCAUUCUUCUGCAACAACAAUGACUCUCCUUGUUGGACAAGCAUUUGAUAUGCGACCUCUUCCAUUACAAUGAUGUGGGUUUAGCAUAUUAUGUAUUCUACCUCUUAAUUGGUGAUAUACCCUGUUUGACACCGUUAGGGCUGUUAGUCCCCUUACUCUCAAGGUUGGAACCCCUGGUUGUUGCAUUUUUUCCUUGUCGCCUACUGAUUCAAAGGUAUUCUUGGGCGAAUACCUAAAAGGUGAGAAAUUCCGAGGGGAUUUCUCCAUCAAUUUUGCCUUCAAAUCUAGACAGGGUGCCUUAGCCACAAUCCAUAUAGACUGCAAACCGAUCUUCUCAUGCAAAGAUCCGUUUAAGCCAUUGAUGUAUUGAGCUACCUUCUGACUCUAUAAUUCUCCCAGUUCAUUAUGCUUAGAGAAACGUAGGAACUCAAUUGUGUAUUCUAUUAUAUUUCACUUUCCUUGAACACACUCAAUAUACAUCGUAUAAAGAAUUUUCUCACAAACCUCUGGUAAAAACCACUCUAGCAUCAAUUGUUUCAUUCUUCGCCAAGAUCUGGCCGACCAUUUUCUUGGCCUCUACCUUUGAGCAACAAAUUUAUUCCACCAUACAACAACAAUACUAUUCAGCCUGAUCGCCACCAUCUUAACUUACUUUUUCUCAGGGACGCCCAUGAAGUCGAAGAAUCUAUCAACGUCGAUUUGCCAAUCCAUAAAUUCCUCCAUUCUCAUCGUUUCAUAGAACAAUGAAAUAUCAAUAUUCACUCUAUUGUCAUGGUUAUUUUGUCGAUUCCCAUGACCAACCUCUACCUCGUAGUGUUCUUCUUCUUCAGAACCCAAAUUUUUAGCAGUAAUAAUACAAUUGUUUCCAUCCCGUGGAACCCUAAUUUGUUCCUUUCUCGUGUCUCUUCGCUAGUUCCUUUGUUAUUGGCGUUGUUCACAUGAGUAGUUAAAGUCAUCAUUUGUUCAGUUAAAAUAGUUAACGUCAUGGUAAAAGCCACAGUAAUAUUACCCUCAAGGUCUGCUAUGGUCAUUGGUGAUCUCCCAUGUAUGAUCAAGCUACAAAAAUAAACAAGAGAAAACCUACUCUGAUGUCACCUGGCGCAGUCAAAGACACUAUAGAUUAGCAAGCACUAAACGUAAAACGAAACACAAGUUUGCAAGCGACAAACCUAUCAGAUAAAGCUUUGGAAUCCACCAGAAAGAAAAAAAAACUCUUGAAUUUUAUUAAGAUAGAAGAUAACCUUGACGGUCACAUCCAAAGACGUUUAAAUACAUAAAAAGAAACCUAAUAAACUUUUAAAAUAGAUUUAAAAAAAAUCUUAAUGGGUUUUUAAUCCAUCAAAAAAUAAAUAAAAUAAAAAAUUACGAAAAUAUUAAAAUUUUAUUUUAGGAUUUGAAACAAACUCUCAUGAUUUAAAAAGUCUUCCUAAAGCUAUUAUACACAAAUUUAAUUAAAAUUAAAGAAGAUAAUGUCAUAUUUGAUGUUUGAUAAUGAUGUUGGUUAAACAAUAAUUAGCAGUAAUAGGACUAACAAGAGGAAAAGGGAAGAACGGAAAUAUUUUUCUGAGUACGAAGGAAUCUAGAAACGGGAAAUAGGAAAAGGGAAAACCUGAAAUUUAUUUUAUAUUUUAAAUUAAACCAUUAUUAUAAUAAAUUGUUAUUAUAUUAGUCUCAACUUUUAUAAAUCAUUUCUGCCACAUGUCUAACAUCCAUGAUCAUAAAUGGAGUAAAUGGAAUAUAUGCUAAAUGGAGUCUGAAAUACAACAUACAUACAAAUAAUUAUUCCAUUGUGGAAUAGAAAAUCAAUGAUGAGUUGGUAACAUCCACUAUAAAAGGUCUCCAAUACUUACGGUGGUAGAAGUAAUAUAAAUGGAUGAUUGUGAUGCAUUGACAGUGUAAAUAUUUUUUACACUGAUAGUGCAUAACAAUUAAUCUCAAUUUAAUAUGUCAAAGAUAAAUAUCAUAUGGAUGUGUGUCUAAGGAAUAACUAUUAAAAUAUAUUGAUUAACCGAGAGAUUGUUAAAAUAUUUAAUUUGAAAAUAUGUUCAAUAAUAUUAUGUGGAGAUAUACAUUUAAGUUAAUUAGAUUAGCUAUUUAUUAAUAGUGAGACUUAAUUGAUUUAUGUUAAAAGUUGUAAUUAAUUUUCUGUUGAAAGCUAUGUCGAAGUAGUUAGUCGAGGUGUAUGAGUCAGCCAUAUUCGACUAAGUCGAAUACAUAAUAUAGUUUUAAUGUCGUAAUAUAAUUUGUAACUUUGUAUAUUACAUUUUGUAUGUUUAGAGUUUGGAUUAAUUUGUAUAGUUUUGGGUGUGAGCUUUAGUUGCCUAUAUAAAGGGCAUAGUAUGAUGUAAAUAACAACUUUACUCAAUAAUAUUUUUCUUUUUUUACAAUUAAGUUUCUAUCUCUUUUCUCUCUCUCUUCUUCUUCUCCCAACUUUCUUGAAAAUCCUUUGUUUCAACAAAUUGGUAUCAAAGAGCCCAGGUUGCGAUUUAGAGAGAAACUAUAAUAGAAAACAGAAACACAACAUCAACGCAGUUUCUAGCGAAUCUACCGGUUUUAAAAGGGGAGAACUACGAACAGUGGAUUGCGCAGAUGAAGGUCAUCUUCAGAUUUUAAGAUAUGGUUGAAAUCAUGAGCGAUGGAGUAACGGCAUUGGAAGAGAAUGGGAACGAUGUUCAUCAAGAUGCUCACAAGGAACGAAGAAAGAAAGAUGGAAAAAGUUUGUUCUUGAUUCAACAGUGUGUGGAUCCUAACAUGUUCGAGAAGAUAAGUGAAUAAGAAAUAGCUAAAGGAGCGGGGGACAAGUUAAAGAACUUGUACGACAUAGAUGAAAAGCUAAAAAUGGUGAAGUUGCAGACGUUGAGAAAGUAAUUUGAGAUGACUCAGAUGAAGGAAGAUGAAUUAGCCUCGAAAUACCUUUCACGUGUGGUGGUCUUUACGAAUCAGAUGAAGUCAUGUGGUGAAUCAAUCAACGAUUUGUAGAAGAUUAAGAAAGUGUUGAGAUAUCUGACUGUAAAUUUUGAUUAUAUUGUAGUGUCUAUUGAAGAGUCCAAGAACAUAGCUGAGAUGAAGUUGGAAGAACUUCAAGCUUCAUUAGUAGCUCAUGAGAUGAGGCUGGAGCAGAGGAACUCAGAAAGGUAGAAGGUGGUCGAAAUGCAAGCAAGAUUCAUCAAUAAAUAUGGAAACGAGAAGGAAAAGCGGAGAAAGAAUCUUGUUAAUGAAAAGAAGUCAAGCAAGAACUCAAAGAAUCACCCUGAUUCGAUUAAUAAAGGCAUGAGCAACAAGUAUUAUGGGAAGAAAGUUGACAUGAAGGAGGUGUUGUGUUACAACUGUCAAGGAUUUGGCCACUAUGCUCGAGACUGUCGAAGAAAGAAGGAAGCACAAGAAAAAGACAGUGAUGAAGUAAAGUGUACACAUGCUAAAGAUAAUGAUUAUGAGGAUGUGGUACUCAUGACCAACACUCAGUCGAAAACUGAGCAAACCAACAUGUGGUACUUGGAUUCAGGAUGUAGUAACCACAUGACUGGUAAUAAAAGUUGGUUCACCAAGCUAGAUGAAUCAGUUGAGAAAGUGAUAAAGUUGACAGAUGGCAGGCACAUCACAUAAGGUGGAAAAUGAGAUAUCUCUGUUGUCAGAAAGGAUGGUCGAAACUCCAGCAUCACGUAUAUGUUGUACGUACCUUCAAUGACAAGUAACUUGAUAGGCGUAGGUCAAUUACUUGCAAAAGGGUACAACAUAAAGCUAGAAAAGAAUCAGAUGACGUGUAUCAUGGUGAUGGAAUCAUGAUUAUGAAGGAACCAUUGGUAGACAACAUGACCUUCAAAGUAGAAAUCAACACGGUUGAUCACAAGUGUCUUGCUUCGACUGCAGAAGAAGAUAAGAACUGGCUAUGGCAUCACAUGGAUAGACAUUUAAACUUCAGAAGUUUAGGUAUGCUCUACCAGAAGAAGACGGUGUUUGGCUUACCUCAUGAAAGGGAACCAAGUCAGGUAUAUGAAGAAUUUUGCAAAGCAAAGCAAAUUAGGAAAGCAUUCAAACAUUACUUGCCUACGAGGUCGAAGGAAAAGCUGGAGCUAGUUCACUUUGAUGUGUGUGCAUCAUUUGAAGUAAGGUCGAAUGACGGUAACUACUAUUUCCUAACCUUCGGAGAUGAAUUCACUAGAUAUAUGAGAGUUUACCUUAUUGAAAGGAAGGGUGAGGUAUUCACACAGUUCAAGAAGUUCAAAUUGCAUAUCGAAAAGAAAAGUGGAUGCAAGUUGAAGAAAUUGAGAACUGAUGGUGGUGGUAAAUACACUUCCCAAGAAUUUGCUAGAUUUUACAAUGAGGAAGAUAUAAAGAAUGAGGCCAUUGCACCCUAUACACCUCAGCAUAAUGGCAUAGCUGAGAGGAAGAAUCGAAGUAUAUUGAACAUGACUAUGAGCAUGUUGAAAGCUAAAGGUACGCCAACGAGAUUUUAGGGUGAAGCAACUUUGGCAGUACUAUACAUUCUAAACAGAUUUCGAACCAAGAAGAUAGUCGAGAGGACUCCUUAUGAGACUUGGACAUGUGUGAAGUUGAAUGUUAGUCAUCUUAGAGUGUUUGGAUGAAUAUGCUUCAAGCAUGUACCUGAACAAUUGAGGAAGAAGCUAGAUGAUCGAAGUCAAACCGUGGUGCUCAUAGGUUAUCAUUCGACUGAUGCAUACAAUAUGUAUUCACCAAAUAAUGAUAAACUUGUGAUCAAUCAAGAUUGUUCUACUGGAUGAAAGCAACGGGUGGGAUUUGAGUCAAGGGUCAGUUCGACAGUAGUCAGAUACAGUUACAAUUGUAUUUGAAGAAGACCAAAAAAUUGAACUCCCAACCAAUCGAAAUGAAGAACCACCUGAGAAGAAUGUUAGGAGAUCGAUUAGAGAAAGAACUGAGUUGACAUGGCUAGCUGGAUAUGAGAGAUUUUCAAAUCAAGCAGUCGUUGCAGAUGGUAACUUAAUAGAAGAGGUGAUGAUGAUGGUUGAAGCAUAACCAAUCAAUUUGGAUCAAGCAAUGAAUGAUUCAAAUUGGUUAGCAGCCAUGAAAGAAAAACUCAGGGCAAUCGAGAAGAACACGACCUGGGAGCUUGUCGAUGAGUCAAUCAAGAAGCCAAAUGAUGUGAAGUGGGCUUACAAGCUGAAACGAAGGCCAAAUGGUGAAAUUGCCAAGCAUAAGCCAAGACAAGUGGUGAGAGGUUUUAUUUUCAAAAACCUGAUAUUGAUUUCGACGAAGUGUAUGCACCUGUGGUGAGGAUGGAAACCAUCAGAAUUAUUGUGUCGAUAGCAACAUACAGAGGAUGGAAGAUAAACCAGUUGGAUGUAAAAUCAGUAUUUCUGGAUAGACCUUUGGAAGAAGAAACAUAUGUCAGUCAACCACCAGAAUUCAAAAUCAAAGGUCAGGAGUCGAAGUUUUACAGAUUGAGGAAGGCUCUCUAUUGUUUGAAGCAAGCCUCAAAAGCUUAGAAUAAAAGAAUAAAUAACUUCCUGAUUGAAGCCUGUUUCAGAAAGUGUGUCUCUGAACAUGGAGUGUAUAUCAUUGAUGCAGACAGGGUCAAUCGAAUCAUCAUAUGCCUAUAUGUAGAUGACUUGUUGAUUACAGGUGAAGAUGAAACAAAGAUAAGAAGAGUUAAGUUGAAACUGAUGCAGAAGUUUGAAAUGUAUGACCUAGGGAAUUUGUCAUAUUUCUUAGGGAUGGAAUUUAAAGACACGAGUGAAGAAGUGUUCAUGCAUUAUGCCGAAGAUAUCUUGAAGAGGUUCAAGAUGAGCAACUGUAAUAUAGUUGUUACACCAUUAGAGUAAAUUUGAAGAAGGAGACAUAUGACGAGUUUGUGAGGGAAACAUUGUACAAAAAAAUCACUGGAUCCUUGAGGUAUCUUUGCAACACCAGGCCAAAACUUUGUCAAACUAUCAGAUUGUUAAGCAAAUUCAUGGAGAAACCUCAAGAAUGCCAUCUCACUGCAGUCAAGAGAUUGCUGAGAUACAUCAAAGGUGAUUGAUCAUGGUGUGUUGAUGACAAGACGAAAGAAGACCAUUAUGCAUGCAGAGGUAUGUGGCUACACUGAUUCAAAUUUCAAUAGAGGUCAAGACGAGAAGAAGAGUAUUGCAGGCUACAUAUUCAUGAUCGAAGGCGCUCCAAUCUCAUUGAGCUCAAGGAAGAAAAUCAUUGUGGUUUUGUCAUCAUGUGAAGCUGAGUACGUGGUUGCAUCAUAUGCAACAUGUCAAACAUGGUGGAUAGAGAUGUUGUCGGAAGAACUGAAGAUAAUGGAACCUAAGAAAAUGAAAUUGUUUGUUGACAACAAGUCAGCAAUCGACCUGACGAAUCAUCCGUGUGUCAUGGUCAAAGUAAACACAUAGAGAGGAAGUAUCAUUUUCUUAGCGAUCAAGUUAACAAAAGAAAGCUUGAACUUGAGUAUUCCAAGACAUAAUAUCAACUAGCUGACAUACUCACCAAACCCCUGAAGAAAGUUAGGUUCGGCGAGUUAAAGAGAAGCAUCAGGAUGAGAAGUCUCGAGAACAUGAAUUAGGGGGGGUGUUAGAAGUUGUAAUUCGAUGCUUUGUUGAAAGCUAGCAUUCGACUAUGUCAAAGUAGCUAGUCGAGGUGUAGGAGUCAGUUGUAUUCGACUGAGUCGAAUACAAUAUAUAGUUGUAAUGUCAAAAUGUAACUUGUAAUUUUGUACUUUUCAUUUUGUAUGUUUUGGACUUGAUUCGAUUUAUAUAGUUUUGGAUAUGGACUUUAGUUGCCUAUAUAAAGGGCACAGUAUGAUUAAAUAACAACUUCACUCAAUAAUAUUUUUCUUUUUUACAAUUCCGUUUCUAUCUCUUUUCACUCUUCUUCUUUUUCUCCUACCUUUCUUGAAAACUCUUUGUUCCAACAAUUUAAUGAUCAAACUUUAUAAUUGAGAUAAUUGAAUUUCUAUUAAAAAAUUUAAUUUUUCAUUAUUUAUUUAAUUAAUUAAAAUAAAUUAAAAUAUGAGUAAAUGUCUGAUGACCUAUUUUAGGAUAAUGAAAACUUCAAUGGACCAUCACCUAUAAAUAUUUUAGGUGGCGCUUAGUUUGGACUCACCGAUUUUUGUUUUUUCUUAUUUAAACUUAUUAAAAAGAAUCAAUCUUCAUCAUCAUCUUUCAUCAUCCAUAAAAAUCUAAUUCUUCCUUCAUAUUCAUCUUCCAUCAUUUUUGAAAAAUCCAAAUUCACCAUCAUCUUCAUCUUUCAUCAUCCUUAAACACUCAGUUUCACACUCGUUAUCAUCAUCAUCAUCAUUUUUCAUUAUCCUUAAAAACUCAUAUCCUUAAAUAAUCUUCAUCUACCAACACCAUUUUUAUCUCAAAAUUCUAAAACAAACAAUAAUCUUAACAAAUAUUGGAAAAAAAAUCCAUAUCUAAAACAAAUUUUAUCUUCAUAUCUAAUAUUUUUUCUUUUGAUUAAAAUCACUUCUCUUUAAAUCUAAGAUUUUCUAUCUUAAAUUAGAAAAAGGAACAACAAAUAUAGAUCUGAAAUUAAAAAAAUUACUCUCUUUCCAAAUAUUUCUGAUUUGAAAUUGAAAAAAAAACUCUUUAUUUACCUAUUAAAAAAAUUUACAUAUCUAAAAUUGAAAACUACAUGCAUGUGUGCCGGAUCUAAAGGCAUCUGAAAUCUAUAAUUUUCUAAUUAUAAUUUUUGUAAUUUUCAAUUAUAUGAAUGAAAAUCAAGAUGGUGAAUUUUAAAUUCCAAAUUAUUUUAGUUUUGUUGUUAAAGUAUUGAUCCAAAUUAAAACAAUGAUGAUAAAUUAUUAGUAAUGAUUCUAAUUUAUGUCAUUGAUGAGUACAAUUAUGAUCCAAAAUGUAUGUUCAGGAUUUGAACAAAGCUUCCUUAAAAUGUAACUCGGAUUUCAUAUAGAGAGAAACUAAUAUACAUGUGAUUAAGUAUAUGCUUAAGACAAAAAAAACUAAAUUGAUAACUCAUAUAAACUAAAUAAUAAUCGUUGAUAAUUUUAUGAUGUUUUGGGCAAAAUAUUAUUUAUCACCAAUAAACCCUGCCGACACAACAAAAAGGGCACAAAAUUGUUUGGUAAUCUUUCUUGGAUUUGAGAUCAUGCUUUAUACUUUUCAUACAAAUUAACAAAAGUAUACAUUCUAUGUCGCGUCACUUUAGAUUAUUUUAUAAUUAGAUCAUGAAAAUUGCAAAUAUAUCAACAUCACAUGGUCUUGCAAAGAAAUUUUCUUCCAAAUUUAAAACAAUCUUUUAGUGAAAUUUUUUAAAUUGAAUAAAAUAUUAAGCAUUUGUAGACCAAUAGUUGAAUUUAGUGACGAUAUACAAUAAUUUUUAUCAGCUUAUCUAAAGAAAUAUUUAUCAUAUAUUUAUAAAAAAAAAAACUACUUUGACAACCAUUUUCAAUGACAACUUAAUUAUUUGUCACUAAAUAUUACUCUUACUUAUAGAUGAACAAUUUAUCAUUUUCUUUUCUUUAUAAAAGAAUAUAUAAUAAAAUUUUAAUUUUAUUACACACAAAUUCGUAUUAAGAGAAAAUUUCACUAUUUAAAAAAGACAACCAAACAUAAUUUUCCCAUUAGUAUUUUAAAUAUUUUUAUUUAUUAUAUUAUUAAAUUAUUUUUUGUUUUAAAAUAAAAUAAAAUAAGAUUGAUAUCUUUUUAAUUAUCUUUUCUCUCUCACAUUUCACGAAAAAAAAUAGUACAAUUACUUAACAACAUAAAAUUUAUUAAAAAGUAGAAAGAAAGCAAUCUAUUAAAAAACCAUUUGAAAAGUUUCAAUUUUGUAAGCUCAUUCACCAUUCUCCUUCGUAUAGUUGAAAAUCAAUCAUUUCCUUUUUAUCGAAGUUUCAUUGAUCGAAAUUGCGAAAUCAGAACUUCUCCUUCAUUUACUGUUCAAAAUAACUUAUUCUUUUUUCUUUAUAAGUGUAACAAGAUUGAACUGUAAAUUUGAGAAAAAAUUCUUCAAACGAAUGAGAUUUAAUUAAAAAAUAAAACAAUUAUCUCAACUAUUAAAUUUUGAAAAUUUUGCAACAAUUUUGUAGAAAGUCGAAGAAGCAAAAUAACUAAAUAUAAAUUCAAUAGCAAUAGCAAGUAAUAAAGAAAGGAAUGAAUGCCUUAAUGUUUUUCUAAAUAUUCUGAAAUUGAUUUAAAUAUAUUUAAUAUUUGCAACCAAAUCAAUAUCUUGUAAAUUCAAAACAAAUUAGAACUUAAUGAUAAUUAUAUUUAUGAAAAAUUGAAAUUGAACAUCAACUGUACCUUUGAAUUAGUAAACAAUGAACAUUGAAGAUCGAUUGUUGUGAACAAAGAACAAGAAGUUAUUACUGUUCUAUAGAAUUAUCCAAACGAGACUUAAUGUUGCUCUAAAUUUUCACGUGUCUGAAACAAUGUUUCUCCCUAACAAAACUUUGAGUUAGAAUACUAAGAUCAGCUGUUCCAGACUCAAACCAUGCUUAAAAAAGUUUGAAGUUAGCGACUCUACAUCUAUAUUUUGAUGAGGUUGUUCUUUAUUGUAUGUUGUGAUCUAAUUUGGUUGUCUUUGAUUGUUGGUAACUCUUGGAUAUGCUCUGUAAUUUCAGUUGUUUCUUUGAGUUAUGUGCAACAGUUGGCAUAGGUUUAUUUUUCUACUAAAUUGAUAUAAUUGGGUUCAAUAUAUUGCAGGUAUACAUAGAGUGCCCAAUGAUGUAAAAAUUUGUGUAGAAUUAUAUCCACUCUUGUAUUCCCAGGCCAAGUAUAGAUUUGUAUCCACAUUUGUGCAUGUGUUUUAUUUCUAUUGCGUGUGUUAAAUCCUUUGCCUAAAAAGGCCAUCUAUGGCCUAGGGACUUGGUAUGAGAAACUGCACCAUAUCAUUCUGCAGUUUGGUUUCAUUUCCAGCAAAUAUGGAAGGUGCAAAUGGAGUUAACACUCCUAUGUUCAGUCAACGCAAACUGAACAAACAUGGCACGAAUAUCAUCUCUGAUUCAACACACUAUAGAUCAAUUAUUGGAGCUCACGAGGCCAAACAUUUGCCUACAGUGUAAGCAAAGCAUGCCAAUUCAUGUCUCAGCCACCGGAUCCUCACUGGAGUGAACUCAAACGGAUCGUUCGCAGUGGUAUUGCACAUCAUGGUUUAGUGUUAAAGCCAACAUAAUCUUCGUAUAAGGUCAUUAUUCGUGUUUAUAGUGGCUCCUACUAGAUCAGUGAUCCUGAUGAUAGGAGAUCCACAACAGGUUCAUGUGUGUAUUUUGGUCCAAAUCUUAUUUCAUUGAGCGCAAAGAAAUAAUCACUAGUGGCACGAUCGAGCAUUGAAGCCGACUAUCGCGCACUUUCUCACACAACCUCAUAAAUCUUAUGGAUUGAAUCACUACUAUCUGAACUCCAUGUUCCAUAUCAAACUCUUGUGUUACUAUGUGAUAAACUACUUGACAAAAAAUAAAAACUUCAACAUAGACAUCCCACCCUAAGUAGUUCGAGGUCUUUCGCUAAAAUCAAUAUUACACCACUAUCUUUUUUUUGGAUGGAAAAAUUAAUCCUCUUAAAACUUAUAUUCAAUGUCCUAGGUGACACAACGUUGUUAUGCAUGAGCAUUUGCACUUGAUAAAUGAUUCAUUGCUUCUUGUGCUAGAAAAUAAAAAGUGUCAAAACCAAAUAGUAUGAAAUCAUAUUAAUUACCAAUACAUGUUUUCUCAUGCUUAACCACUAAUUAGAUAAUUAUGAUACAAGUUACCUACUAUCACAAUUUUUCUAGCAAGGUUAUGGCAACAAUAUCACUUGCUUCUUAAUAAAAUUUAUUUUAAAGUUUUGACAAAUAAUUAUAAGAUUAAUAUAAUUAUAAUAAAACAAAAAGAUAAAAAAAAAUAUUAUUAUUUGAGUGAUUAAUACUAUCGUCUAUUGAUUUGAUUGAAUUUGACGAUUUGAACAUUAGUGAUAUAUUUGCCAACAACUGAUGUUCUGUGGUUCUCAGGGAUAAGGGUAUACUAAUAAAUACUUCAACAAUUAAGUUAAUGGAAAUUCUGAGUGUCAAAUUUAGAAUUUUACAGUAAAGUUUUAGGGUUUAGAGACCCUAGAAAUUUCUUUAGACAAUUACUUUUGGAGAAGGUGUCAAGAGAUCCUUCAAGAUUUCUUCUAUGACUACCAAAUAAUUUGCAUAUCCUAAUGCCAAUUAAAAGGGUCUUAAGAUGUCCAUUUCAUACUAGGAGAAAGACGUUUAUCAGUAUGAUUAGUAAACAAUCAUGAUUUUAUUUCACUUAAGAGAUUAAACUAGAGAAUUCUCGAGGACAAAUUUGUGCAUGAAUGUUUUAAGAAAAUUGUGUUUAAAAUGGUGGUUUUGUUUAAAUUCGUGAGAACUCAAGAACAACAUGAAGAAAAUGGAAAUGUGCAGAAAAAUAUGAAUACUUAGAACGAAAAGCUAUAAGAAUGCAAUUAAAAUAGAGAAGAUAAUGAAAUAAACUGAAAACAAAGUGUUUGCAUUAACAUAAAAUGGUGCACAUUGAAGCUAGCGGAAAUAUACCUGAACGUAUCACACGCUCGAACAUACAACAUAGUCGCCAUCGAACUUUAUUUAUCCCCAAAGGGAAGGAAAAACAUCGAUAAAACCCAGGGGAAAGAGAUAUACUGGGUAAGGAAGUCGGUUAUGCAAGGGGAAGGUAUUAGCACCCCAAACAUCCAUGGUACUCCAUGGGAACCGUUUUGAUUGUUCUCGCUCGAAUAGGUGUGAGAUCUAAGAUUACUCGCAAAAUAAUGAAGAAAAGGAAAUAGAUAGAGUGCUCUGUGAGGAUUGGGGCCCUCAUGCCUACGUAUCCUCAUAGUGCAAUGAAGAAUUCAGAGCUUCGUAGUUCGAAGAACUAGAGGCAGGAGAUGGAAAGAAAUGUGAUCAAAGUAUGGUCUGAACCAAAGAAAACUGUUUUGAACUCCAAAAAGGGUGAAAAGAUGAACCCAAGAGUAAAGCGGCUAUUACCAAUACGUGGACUAGCAGGCCGCCACUAUAAGAUAAAGCCGAAAAGAUGAAGAAAUAGGUGUUUGGACGCAGUCCCAAAUAUCUCUUGGUUCACAAGGUGACGCAAGAAGGAGUGCAAAGAUAUAGCGUAUUUGACUCAAAGAUAACUAGUUUAUCACAUGGAGUGAAAGAAGGUAGAAUAUGAAUGUAUCAUGGAGAUGAAUGGAAGAAUUCCCUAGGGCAGGAGUGAUAAAUAAGUAUGCUCGCGGAUGAUUCGAACCCUCGUGCCUACGUAUUCUCAUCGUGCAAUGAGAAAAUCAGAGCAAUCGUAGUUCAGCCCACUAAGGCUGAAAAGAAAGAGAGAUUCGAUAGGAUUGCCCAGAGGCGAGGUAGCUAGACUGCUUAACAAGCAAGGACGUCGUACUAACCGAUGAUGGUAAUCAACCACAAGGACAAAUGAGAUAUUGCCAGAGUCUGAACUCCAUAGGGCAAGAUAGAUGAGUGCCAUAGUCUGAACUAAAUACAAGGCCAGAAAUGGAUUCCCAGAGUCUGAACUCAAAGGGGGAAACAGAGAUAUAAUGUCAAGGUUGGAGUCAAUGUCAAAGGUUUCCAUAGUCUGAACUCUAUGGGUAAGAUGGAUAAGCAUGCCAUAAUCUGAACUAUAAGGCAGGGUAGUAUGUUAAAGUCUGAAAUGUAUAGCCAAAAUCAAGAUAGCCAGAGUCUGAACUCAAUAGGGCGAGGAUGUCAAGAUCUGUAUCUUAUGGGCAAAGAAUAAAGCCAGAGUCUGAACUCCAUGGGCUAAAGGGGUUUGCCAAGGUCUUCACCUUGAGGGAAAGAAGCAAAGCCAGAGUUUGAACUCCAAGGGAUAAAGGAAGUUGCCAAGGUCUGCACCUUGAGGGCAAGAAGAAAACCCAGAGUCUGAACUCCAUGGACUAAAAGAAGUCACCAAGGUCUGCACCUUAGGGCAAAGGAUAAAGCCAGAGUCUGAACUCCAUGGGCUAAAGAAGUCGCCAAGGUCUGCACCUUAGGGCAAGAAGCAAAUCCAAAGUCUGAACUCCAUGGGCCAAAGGAAGUUGCCAAGGUCUGCACCUUGAGGGCAAUAAGCAAAGCUAGAGUCUAAACUCCAUGGGCUAAAAGAAGUUGCCAAGGUCUACACCUUGAGGGCAAGCAACAAAGUAAGCCAUAGUCUGAACUGAUAGGCAAUACAUGAAGCUAUUGAUUGAGAAAUGGGUAUGUGACCCUUGCUUGAACUGAAUGAGGAUUGAAUGAUUGAUUGUUAUAUAGAAUAGAUUGAUAAAUAAGAUAGGAAUAGAUAAGAUAGCUCGCGAGAAACUGGGUUCUCCUGCUUACGUACACUCAUUGUGCAAUGAGGAAAUCAGAGCUUUCGUAGUUCAACCCACUAGGGCUGAAAACAAGAUGAUGGAGGCAAAAGAAAUGAAUGAUUGAGAUUGAAUUGAUUAUAAUGGAAUGUGGAGUGAAGUGAUGAGAUACUUGACAGUCGAUUGAUAGGAAUCACACUAAAGUCUAUGAAUAAGGGAGAACGCUUUGAAUAUUUGGGGCAUACGCCCCAUACGCAAAGUCGCUCUAGACGAGGAUGGGAGAGACUCCGUCUCGUCAUUCCCUAUUACUUAAGACUCGAAUCGCAUGGUACUUCCCUUGACUGACAAGUUGUUGGUGAAGAACCUUUGUUGUUGAUCAUUGUGUUGAUGUUGAACUUGUAUAAAGAAGACUUGGUAGUUUAAUCAAUUUGUAUUGUACUAAAGUCUAUGAAUAAGGGCGAACGCUUUGAAUAUUUGGGGCAUACGCCUCAUACGCAAAGUCGCUCUAGGCAAGGAUAGGAGAGACUCCAUCUCAUCAUUCCUCAUUACUUAAGGCUCGUUUCGUACAAUUUGAAUCGUAUUUACCAAGUGUUCACCUUUGAUUUAUCUUGUAUAAUCCGCUGCUUGGUGUGACUGAGGAUGCCUUGAUUGAAGAUCUUGACUUGAGGCUUCGAGCUCCACAGCUUAGAAUAAAAGUCCUAUUAAUUGACCAAAAGUAUUUUGGUCACUCAAUUUAGACAGUGAGAUUAUACAAGUUCAAAGGAUUUAAUUGAUCAAAAUUGCUUUUGAUUAAUUCAAUCAUGGGUUUGUUUUGAUUUAAGAAGCUAGGUUAGAACCUAAUCAGGUUAGAGUUGAAUUCACAAGCUAUUUCUAAAGGAGACAUGCAUUUGUUAAUCAAAGACUUGAUUUAAAACUAAUUAAAAUUCUAAGUCUAGAUUAAUCAUAAGGGAGCAUGCAAUUAUUCAUGAGAAGGUCAUAUUAAAAGGUUCUAAAAUUAUUAAUCUAAUUGCUUGAUCAAAAUAUAUUUGACCAAAUAAUUAAAUCAUUCAAGAGAAAUCAAACCAUGAAUUAACAAAAGAAUUAAUUACAGAUUUAAUUACAUGAACCAAAAGAAGAUUUAUCGAUUAGUCAAAAAUUAACUAACACAUUAAUUUUAUUUUUAGCAUUUUAAAUAAUCAUUAAAACUAAAUUAAAAAAGAAAUUAAUUCUAACAUUUUUACUAAACUGAUACUAAUGUUUAUAAACUAAGUAAAUUGAUGUAUGUAUUUCCUAAACGAAUGUAAACUAAAGUGUUAUUUUUAACUAAAACUUAAGCAUCAUUUUUUAACUAAAAUUAAAAUAUCAGGAUAUCUAAAUAAAGCUAAAGUAUAUAUUAAGCUAAAGCUAUUGUUUUAAUUGACUAAUCAUAUGUUAUAUAAUAUAAAAACAAUAUAAUGUUAGUAAAAGAAAUGGUUAACAGUAACAUGAUUAUAGAUUUAAACAUUGAUGUGUAAUAGGCUGCGAAGGAAAAAUAUGAACUAUUUCUCUACAUAAGCCAGUAGCCAACCGCCACUUGACAUGUGGCAAAAAAAUUAAUUAAAAGACAAAGUAAAAUAGGAGUAAUGGUAGUAAUAGAAUAAAUGACAAGAGAACAAAUAUAGAUAUAGUAGUAGAAGGAAUAAAAAUAUCAACUUUGCACAAGUUUCCGAUAACGGAUGACGGAACCGAAUUCGACAAGUUAAUAUGUUGUUAGAUUCAGAAUUUCAAAAAAAAUAAAAUAUAUAGUGUAAAUUACAAAGUGAGUAUUGUAUUGAAAAAAGUAAAAAGUGGGUGAAAAAGUCGAUUAAAGAAUGAAUCGGUUUGGCUAAAAUAUGCAUCGGAAUGAAAAUCUAGUUAUAUAUUCACGAUCGACGCGAAAAAUCGAUUCAAAUGGUAUAUUCACAUGUUAUUAAUAGUUAAGAAUUAAAAAAUCACUAUUUUUAAGUUUAUGUGUCUUUGCAAAAAUAAGUGAUUAUCCAAUAAGCAAUUCCAAAAUAGUAGCUUAAGCUAAAUCAACCAACAAAUAUCCAAUAAUUUAUAACAAAAGUGUGGAAAAGAUGUAGGAUUACCGAUGGAGCGGAGAUUUGCUCCGGUUAGUGUUGAAAAAUGGAGCAUCGAAAAGAAAUCCGGAAAACUUCAAGAAUAAACUUCAUUAAUCCAAUUAACUUCCAAGCUUUGAUGAUUAUUCUUGAUGAUGAAUGAAUAUAGAAGAUGAAUCAUAAAUGUAGAAUAUUGAUGAAUAAGUUUGAAUUGAUGAAUAUUGGAUGAUGAUUGUUGAUGGAUGAUUUUUGAUGAUAAUGCUUGAAUUGUGGAUCGAUAAUUAUUGAUGAUAAUAUAGAAAUUUUUGAUGGCUAAGUUCCACCAUUUUAGAACUUCAAUGUGAAAUUCUAAAUGGUGAUGAAGAUGAACUUUAAUGAGGGUGAGGGAGAAGAUGAAUAUUGAGAGAGAAAUUAAGAAGAAAAAGUAGUGGAAAAAUAAUGAUUAAUUGUGAAUUUUCCAAGUUAGGUUAGUUAACCCCCCAAAAUGUGAAAAAUAACAUGUUUACAUAGACUUGGUAGAUGAAUGAUCAUCCUUGGAUUGUCAUCCAAGUAAUUGGUUUUAUCAAUGGUUAGAAAUUAAUUUAAGCUCAAGUUGUGGAUCACCAAUUUCAACCACAAGAUUAAUAGUCAAAGACUGGCUAGGAUUGAAUGAAAAAAAUGGAAGUUAAAAUUUGUGUUUGUUUGGAAGUUUUGUGUUAGUUUGGAAGUUAUGGUAGUUAAGGGUAAUUAGGUAAAUGGAUGACUUAUGGAGAAAUAGGUAGUUAAAGGUAGUUAAAGACCAAUGGUGUUGGAGUUUAGCAAAAGUACCAAGUUAGGAUGUAAGGCAAAGAGUCACUAGUAAUUAACUUUAAUUCUAAUGCCUUUUACUUUGGUUUUUCACCACUUUUGCCUUGAAUUUUGAGUGACAUAAUCCAUAACUUUUAGUGCUUUUGAGAAGUGAUAUUUUCCCAUAAAUGAAUGAAAUCUUCAAUUUAUUCCAAUCUUUCCCUUUUCUUUGAAUCCAAGCAAACCUCCAAAAUAACUAUGAAUCUCAAAUAAAGAGAUGAUCCCACCACAAGUAAUAUGAGAAAUAAAUCUUAAACCGUUAAAUUUACUAUCAUUGAACCUUUGGCAUAAAUUUGUUAUCAUAUACAAAUGUCGAUGAAUGCAUGAUCAAAUAGAAACAAAGUAUGCAAAUGAACAAAACCAUAAGCUAGACGAAUUGAAUAAAAAAAGUAGGGCAAAUUUUAGGGUACGACACACAUAAUCAUACAUUUCUUACAGAAUCUCUGAAUCACCGUGACUUGGGUGUUGGAUUCUAUAUAGAACUUAAUGAAAUUUGCGACCCUAAUCACAAUGAAGAAAUUUGACUUAUAUAUAAGUGAAAAAUAACUGUCAACAAAAGUUACUUUCUCAGCACUAAACACUUUUCCAAGUACGUGUUUCUGGUCUAUACAUGGCUUCCACACGUCUUUGAUGUUCUAACUGCUUCAAAUCAUAACCUACACUAAUAAAUGUCUUUAAAUCUCUCAACUGCCUUUGUUGAGAAUCUCUAGUCGACUCAUAUAGCAUUGUCGAAGCAUCCUUAGUCCACGUGACCUUUUGAUUCAAAAAUAUAUUUAGUCCUUAACAUCUGAUGGACGCGUCGAACUCGGCACUUGUCGAAGUGCUGAUUUGUGCAAACACUUUUGAGAUUCUGGACAUAUUUUGAAGAGAGAGUAAUCAUAAUCUUGUGGAUCUGUUCCCGAGAUUCUUCCAAACCAGGUUUAGUGCAAUGUCGAAAUUUAUAGGCUAACAAAGGGACAUUGUAAAAGAGUGUGUUCAUUUAUGCGGUUGAUGUCAGAUGAGUAUCUACAUGUUUGUGUAAAAAAUUUGGUUAAGGUUAUAGAGUUAAACGGGUGUAAAAGUUUUGUUUGUUUGUAGAAGGUUUUUCGACUGAUCCUCUGCAGAAGCUCAAGUUAUUUUGUAAAUAUUUUUAGAAAGAUCCUGUGAAAAAAUUCAAGAUUGUUUAAAAUGAAAAUCUCAAGAAAAAACUCUGAGACAAGAGUAGGCCAACUAAUAUAGGUUGAACCAUAAUAAUUCUUUAGUAGAAUUUUUCUUUCCUUUAUCUCUUUUAUUUUAUGUUAUUUAUUUUAUUUAUGUUGCUUAUUUUUCUGUCUCUUUCAUAUUUUAUUAUUUCGUUGUUUUAUCCGACAGUUUAUCUCUUCUUAUAGAAAAAAUUUAAUAAUCAAAGUUUUUAAUUUUUUCUUUUAAAAAUUGAAUAUUAAAAUUUAUCUUUCUUAUUUUUAGAAUCAUUUGAUCAAUAUUUUUGUCUUCCUGCAUUAAACUCUCAAGUUUGAAACUACUUAACUAUCAGAGUUAUAUACGUGGUGGGUCGUUGAAUGUUAUUUUCUUAUUUAAGUUUGGACAUGGUGCGCCCUGAAGGAUCUUUUGAGCAGAGAUGCAGUGUAGCUAGUAAGAUCUCAAGUAAGUAGUAAAUUUAGGUUUUGUUUUAUUGUUAAACUAAUAGGAGGUCUUUGCCUUUACAUGGGCCCGUAAUGUUAUAUCAUUUGUAAGUCUUAUUAUUUUUAUUCAAUGGUCUACAUUACAUCAAUAUCUUUAAAAAUAACUAUGCAUAAUAUUUUUGUUCAUUAUUUUCCACAAAUCACAUAGAUAAAAUCUAAUAACAAUUCAUUAAUAUUGUAAAAAAUUCCAAUACAAUAUAAAAUAUAUUAGAUGCAAAUGUAAAUUAGAAGUAAAUUACUCAAUAAAUAAUUAAUUCAUAAUAAAAUAUAUUAAAUGAAAUUUAUGCAAUGAAAAUGAAUAGCAUAAGUUAAAAUAAAAUUAUUUAAUAUUGUAUUAAAUAAAUUAUUCAUUUUAAACUUUUACAUAUAAAACAGUUAUUUGUUUAUCAAGAAAUAAAUUAUUCAAAAAUAAAGAUUUGGUUCUCAAGUAAAAGUAAUUUGUGAAUUUUUUACUCAAAUAUCCCUAGUUUUUAAAAAAUCCAAAAUAACCCUGAUUUUAAAAAAAAUCUUAAACUACCUCAUUUUAAAGAGGAGACGCCAAACCAAUUGGCGCCAACUCCUAAAAUUAUAGAGGAGGCGCCAAUUGAACUGGCUAGGGCACAUGGUGUUGCCAAUCCAAUUGACGCUCAUGUGUUACUUUUGAGAGGAGGCACCAAUUGGUCUGACGCCUCAGUGUAAUUUGAAAAAACUGUUAUAAAUAGAGGUGUUGUGUGAAUCAUUUUUCCACGUCUCAUUUCAUCAUUUUGCAAACAUGUUUGGUGUUCGUCGCCGCUAUGGAAAGGUGAUUUAUUCGAGAGACAAACCUCAGAUGUUGAUGCUCUUCAGAAACAUCACUAGUUUCGAUCAACUAAAGAGGAAGCUGGUUCAUUGGUUAGAUGGAAAAAUACCAGAAGGGAAAAAAAUUAGAAGUAUUGAGAGACUUGAUAAUAUAUUUGGUUGGGUGCGAGUCAAAACUUAUAAGGAUGUUAGGGAAAUGAUGUUUGGACGAGAUGAGAUUAGUUUGAUUGUUGUAAUCAGUUAGAAAUGUUCUGUUUUAAGUUUGCUUAUGUCGUAGUGAUGUUUGUUGUUAACCUUGUUGUAACAAAAAGUUAAUGAUAUAUAAAAAUCCAAGGUUACAAAAAGAUUAUGAUGCAGAUGUUGCUCCUCGAUUGGGACAAUUGUUCUUAUUGUGUCCUGGUUGAUGAUAUAUACUAGAUAGUCUUAUCAUUUCAUCAGUCGUAUCCGUUUCUGUCCUAAUAUGCGUGUUGUUCGGUCGUCCUUUUUUCUUUCUUCACAUCUUGUCGUUGUGCCAAACUAUGUCACCUUCAUAUGGAGGCCAGUAUUCGUCCAUUAGUAGCACUGAGAAGCUUUUGUUAUACACAUUCAUGACGGUAAUGGCCUUGUAAACAUCAGAUAAAUGGUUGUAAGCGUCCUGGCGAGUAUGUGCGCAUGCUGCAAUGACAUGGGAGCAAGGAAUGCGGAAGGCCUGGAACUUUCCACAGUCGCACCAACUUCUGUUUAGUUUGACAACAUAGGAUAAAUUUGGUCUCCCCUCAUUGUGGUCCAUUGUUUCCUGUACGCUGAAAUUUUGCCUAUGACGGUCAAAGACUGUUACCGCGUGUGUGCUAGCUUUGAUGCUCCCCUCUUUCUUCACUUUCAUACAACACUCACUGAAUAUUUUCCCAGACAUUAACACCACACUCCAUCUUUCACCUCUGGUUGUGAAGGUAGAUGCCAACCUAUAAUAGGUUGAUCUGACCAAGGCGGUUAUUGGUAGAUUUCUAAUGCCUUUGAAUACGCCGUUCAUGCAUACCACAAGGUUUGUUAUCAUAUGGCCCCAUCGACAGCCUCCGUCAAAUGCCCUUGUCCACUGCUCUACUAGUAUGAUAUCCAGCCAUCUUCCUGCAUCUUCAUUAGACAAUCUAAUUUCAUCACGGUAAUAUUGAAAUGACGACUGAGUUAGAGCAUACCCAACAUUCACCACUUUUUUGCGAAGGUUCUUAUCUUUAAUUGCACGCAUGAAGUUUUGCGUGAUAUGUCUAAUGCAAUAGACAUGGGUAGGAGGAGGAUCAUGUCAUGCGUUGUCAUGGUUAUUGUAAGCACACUCAAUGGAAGCAUGUCUAUCAGAAAUCAAACAGAGAUCGGCUUGUGGAGCCACAUGUGUUCUGAGAAAGAAACCACAACCACCACCAGUUUCACCUUCAACCAGAGCAAAGGCAAUGGGAAAGACAUUGUUGUUGCCGUCUUGUGCAACCGCCAUAAGCAAAGUACCCUUGUAUUUGUCGUAUAACUAUGUUCCAUCAAUUUGAAUAAUAGGUUUGCAAAAUGCAAAACCUUUGAUGCACGGGUCAAAGGCCCAAAAGAGACGGUGAAAGAUUUUAUUUCCAGCAACACAGGUACCGCCUGGCGUAAAUGCUGGAAAUGUCUCCAAAAUUGCAACAGUUCCUGAUACGUGUGCUUUUAGUGUGUCAUACCCCAAUUUUGUCCGGGCAUAUUUAAAUUUUUGUAAAAUCGAUUUCAUUUUUAAUUUACAUCAUAAGCACAACAUGACAUGCAUUCCAUCAUGAAUAAUACUUAAAAUAUCAGUCAGAAUAAAUUUAUUGAAAAUACAGACAAAUCGGUUGAAUCAUUUCCUCAAGUACGGACAAAAUCAGCGAAUAAAAAGUUUCAAAAUUAAAAUUGCAGACACCAGUAUUAUUAAUCUACGGUUCAUGUAGUUUAACCUGGUGUGCUCGUUGUAUUUUUCAGCAGUUGUUUCAGUUGCGUUUUGACCUGCCUGAGCCUUUUAACCGGUGCAAACUUAUUUCAGAAUUUGAAGAAACGCUGUAUUUUUUUCAAUAAGUAUAUUUUAUGCUGAUCAUUUUAGUGUGCCCGAUUUAAUUUUCCGUGCACAUUUAUAACCGGUCCUUAUUUAUAAUUGGUCACUUUUUUGGUUUAGUUAUUUAAUUAAAGUAAUUAGAUUUUUUUUUAAAAUCAAAUAUUGAUUAGAAAUUUUAUGAGUAUAUUUCCUUAAAUAAAUAAUAUUUGUUUGCAAAAAAUAAAUAAAUGAGAUCAACAUUGGAUUUCUAUUUUUUGACAACUAGUGCAUCUCCAACGGUAAUAUAAAAUUCCAGCUUGCAUCUAUCUCACACACGUCUUCUCACCAACAAUAACAAAAAUAAGCAGAAAAAAAAAGAAAUAAAUAAGGUGACACCACCACUCCAAAACCCACUGAACUUCUUCUUCCCUCAACCUAGGCGUCGCCCUCAACAACAACUCUCCAUUACUUUUUAAAGCUACCACCAUCCCCAUCUUCUUCCUGGGGAUCCUCAACCCAAACCGUGAUACUCCCUCCAUCUUCUCCCUAAAUCGUCGCCUCCGGCCACGAACCAACAACCUUUCGCCGACACGGAUCUGCAACUUCAACCCUCUCCACACGCCGGUGAUUUUCAUAGCUUCCUCUCCUUCUUCCACCUUGAACCCAUUGACCACUAACCCUCUUCAACAUAACCGACCUACAUACUCCAACCAACUCCACUCAGUCGCUCCUUUCCUUCAACAUAAACUAAACUCAUCUUCUCCAAUUCAACACUGUUUUUUGUUUUGCUUUCGAAAUUGGGAAGGUUAUAUUCUGCUUGGGUGUUAUCUCUUUUUUUUUUGUAGGUUGAGUUUAAUUUACGUACCUGAUCGGGAUACCGCAAAGAUGUGAUUCAAUUAGAUGCCGCGAUGUACACGUUUCAGUUAUGAUUUGUUCCUCUUUGGACCGCCGCUUCGGUUACGGUACCGAGUUUCUUACGUUUCUCAUAAUUCAUGUGUAUCUUGUGAUAAGCUAAAAGUUGUGAUUAAAUUACAAAGUCAAAAUUUGUGCAGAAUGAACAUCCUGCUGUGGAACAAUAGAAAUAUUUUAUUUUAAUUUUAGUAUAUAUUGUAUAAUUGGCUCUGCAUUAUUAGUGUUAAAUUUGUGUAGAAUGAAGUUCCAUCCCUGUUUUAAAAGUGAUCAAACCAACAUAUAAAAUAUUGUUAAAUUAAUUAAACAUUUUCUUAUGAAUUUUUUUAUGAUAUUCUCUUUAUCAAGUAUCAGAGCUAGCAUCGGUGAGGUCGCCGAAAUAUCAUUGCUUUCCUCUGAAAAAAUGUUGAUGUUGCUGCGAAUGAAUGUGUGAUGGAGAAAAGUUAACCCCAAUUUUUUAUUGUAUUAUGAUGUUUAUACUUUUUAUUUAUUAAUCGUUUUUUUAAAAGAAGAGAAUUAUCACCACUUAGAAUUAUUAUUAUUAUUAUUAUUAUUAGUAGUAGUAUGUAGGUGUUAAAAUAAAUUUGGAUUUGGGUCAUUUGAGUGUUAGAGAAUAUGGGUCCAUUUCUCUUUUUUUUUCCUUACCUAUUUUGAGAACUUUUGUUUUGUUAAUGGUACCCCUAUAAUCUGUAACGAACCCAUGUUAUUGAUUGCUUGAUUUUCAUUGCGUGUAAAUUAAUUUUAUUAAUUAAGAUCGACCGACUUAUUUCACCAUUAUUUUCUACCAUCAAUUCAUAAUACAAGCAUGAUUCCAUUCCAUUAUCAAUAUAAAACCAUGAUUAAACCAUUUAGAAAAAUCACACAAUUCUUGAUUUAAUCUCAAACUCAUUUCCAAACACCUUUGUAAGUCAAUUGCCUUUAAAGCAUCGCCAUCAACCUCACAUAGCUUACUCUUGGGCUUUCCUACAAUGAGACCUAUUCAGUUAUUAAUUAACUGAGUAGAUGAUUGAUACACUAAAAUAAUCCCAUUUAUUCACAAACACACAUCCAAGCCUCGAUUCAACAUCAAGUAUUUUCUAUUCAAAUCAAAUUAAGAUACCUAAUCACGAUUAACACCACUUCAUUUAGAGAUGAAAAAGGAGAUGGUUUUGAGUUUUCAACUUCUCUCCUCGAUUAUUUGGAUACGAAUUCUCUUACUCGGUUAGUCAAAUAGUUGUCAUUUCUAAUCCACUUAAGAACAAAAUACAUCGAAUCAUUUUAUAAUAAGAAACGAAAAGGGAGAUGAUUUUGAGUCUUCAAUUUUUCUCCUCGAUUAUUUGAAUACAAGUUCUCUUACUUGGUUAGUCAAAUAAUUGUCGUUCCUCUACAAACCUUAAACCAAGAUUAAAUCAAAUUAUUUUCAUAAUGAGCUAAAUGAAAAGGGAGAUGACUUUGAGUUUUCAACUUCUCUCCCCAAUUGUUUGAAUACGAGUUCUCUUACUCGGUUAGUCGAACAAUUGUCAUUUUUCUGUCGACUCCUACUGUAAGUCAAAUCAUUGUCAAUCAAAACUAUACGAAAAGGGAGAUGGUCUUGAGUUUUCAAUUCCUCUUCUCAAAUGCUUGGAUAUGAGUUGUCUUACUCAGCCAUUCAAGUAUUUGUCGUUUAUUCUAAAACACAUCAACCAUACACAAACUUUUUUCAUAAUUACUCAGAUGAAACAGAAAGCGGUCUAGAGUCUUCUAUUCCCUUUCCCGACUAUUAGGAUACGAGUUGUCUUACUCGGUUAUCCGAGUAUUCGUCAUCCAUUCAAAACACCUUAACCAUCAUUAAAUCCUUUUAUAAUUAAGGAUGAAAAAUAAAAUGGUCUAGAGUCUUCUAUUCCCUUUCCUGAUUAUUAGGAUACGAGUUGUCUUACUCGGCUAUCCGAGUAUUCGUCAUCCAUUCAAAACACCUUAAUCAUCAUUAAAUCCUUUUAUAAUUAAGGAUGAAAAAGAAAGUGGUCUAGAGUCUUCUAUUCCUUUUCCCGGUUAUUAGGAUACGAGUUGUCUUACUCGACCAUCCAAGUAAUCGUCAUUCAACAAAAAUGUCUCAACGCAUCAAAUAUAUAUCUUUCUCGCCCUCAUGCGAUCAAAAUCAAUCAAAAAAAGCGUCAAACAUAUUAAUCCAACUUGUCACCCUCGUGUGAUCAAAACUCUUUUAAGAAAGAACACUGUUAAUCCUUUAUAAUGCGCACAACAAACUAGUGCUUAAGCCUCCGCCGAGAGUAGACAAACCAACGUUUAGCCUUUAGAAUGCAAUUUAAAACAGUUGUUCACUAAAAGGCACCAACCAACCGUAGUUCCCCGAACUACGAAUGCUCUGACUUCCUUAUUACACCAUAAGGAUACGUAGGCAGGAGAUUGAUGUAUCUUCGCGAGCACACUAAUAAAAAAACCUCCCCUUUCCUUUUCUAAGGUUCCCAUCCAUUUCAAUUUCUAAUAUUUUAUAACCCAAAGAUAACAAACAAACAUAAAUUAACACUCGAAACGCACAUUAGAACUAAAAGGUUUCCGUUGAGUACAACGGACGUAAGGGGUGCUAAUACCUCCCCCUUACGUAAUCCACUCCCGAACCCGAAUAUGGUUGCGACGACCAUUAUUCCAUUUCCUAAAGGUUUUAUCGAUAUUUUCCUAUCCCUUCAUUGGGAUAAAUAAAGUUCGGUGGCGACUCUGUUUGAACGUAAUUUUUUCCGCGACCAUCGCGAGGAAUCGUAUUUUUCGAGAUGCGACAUAGUGCCCAUAAAAACCGUGGCAAUUCUUUGUAUGAAUCCUUUCAGUUGCCGAAUACCUGUUCAAUAGCCUUUAUCCUCGCAAUCCACGCUUUCUUGUAAGAUGGAGUAUAAUUAUAUCUUGUUCUGAUAUAAUAUAUUAUUAUACUCACCUUCACUGAUGGGUCUUUGUUAACAAGCGACAAAAUGUCUUGACAUAUAAAUGCAACACUUAAUUUACGGUGAUCUUGUUCAACGUUAGUUGUAAUGCAACUGUGAGGUGGGUCUAUUGAAUCUAUCUCGUUUUUAGAGACGCAACCAACUGAAACUUACAAAGGAUGUUACGACAUUCGAUGACAUACCUUCUCGAAUCAGUGCGUUUCACUAUGAAAUCUGCAGAGUUAUUCAUGUGAAAUUUUUUGAUAGCUUGCACACAUUCUUCUUUAGUGCGGAACAUGUCUUCCACCUUUAACUCGCCUUCUGAUCAUGGAUACGGGUUAUAAAAAACACUGUUGGAUGUUUCAUCGUCAUGCAGAUCCAUGUUUGUCAUAUGUUGAGGCGGAUUCUAUACAUGACUUUGAGGUAAUGGCGCUGGUUGAUCAUCAUCUUCAAUGUUGUUGUUCAACAUAUGAUCGACCUGUAUCUCGGUCUCUUCUUCUUCUUCAUCAACGACGUUAACUUCUGCUUCUGGGUCGACGUCAUCUGAGUAUUGUGAAUAAAAUUCAUCAGAUUCAUCCUUAUUAGUUAUUUGAGAUUGCUGAGAUGGUAUACUUGGUUGAAGAGUAAUAUACAACUCAAUACAAUUGCAACCAGAAUGUUCGUGACUAACAGACAUAUAUUCAACAUCUUCAUCAUCCCGUACCUUUAGUGGGAAAAACUUGCAUUGACUGUUCUAAAAAAAAUGGAUUUUGAUAUGUGAUCUUUGACACAAUAACAGAUCCCAUGGAGGAUUCAAUUUGUUUUUUUAGAUGCAAGAAAUUUGAAUUUCUCUUGAUCGUAAGUCGGAUGGUAUCGGUGUUUCAAAAAUAAAACCCGUAUAACUAAGACUCAUAUGUCUCACCAUUGCAGUGAACAUUGAUAUUAUAUUUCGGUGAAGAUGACAUUGUAAUAUUUCUUGUACAAAUGAAAAUUAAUUUCCUGCUGCAGAUGAAUGUGUGUUGAUUGUUGGAUGUAGAUAGUAAGACACUUAAAUAUGUAAGUGAUGUGUCUAACAUGCAAGCAAGAUGGAAGUGAUAUGUCCAACAUGAAAACCAGAGGGAAGCCAUGUGUCACACAUGCAAGCCCUAACUCCAAUCCAAUUGGCGCUUGCUUGCAAUACUUGCACAUGGCGCCAGUCCAAUUGGCGACACCAUGUCUUGCAUGCAGACCUUGUAACCAAGCAUGCAGAGCCAUGCACGCGCCAUGUUAGGUCAAGAUGUGUCAUGCAUGAGCCUAGGGAGGCGCCAAUUUGAUUGGCUCUAGCAUGUGGCAAAUGCACAUGGGCGCCAAUUCAUUUGGCUAGCACAUGCAAUCACAAUUUUCCAAGCUUCCACACUUUUGCAUGUCACACCUUAUAAAUAGGCAAGAGACUCUCACAUUUCUCUCACACCAACACUCAUUACUUCCUCAAUAACAUCAAAUCUUUCAUCUGCAACAACCUCUUUCAUCUACACCAACCUCUUUCAUCUCCGACAAGAUGUCUCUCCUCAUAAUGGGUGAAACGCAUAGAGGAACAGUUGCAAACAUAGCAACUUAUCUAAGACUUCAAUUAUUUUGUUAUUUGUCUAGAAUACCUUUUAAUAACAUAUCAAAUUAGUAACAUGUUUUGUUGUUUCUUUUAUAGGAUGUUUCAAGGUUCCGAACUCGGGUCCACGAAUAUGUACACAUGGACCCGAUGAUUCAACCGUAUGUCGAACUCGCCGGUUUUGGACAUAUAAGAAAAAUAAUAUCUUAGUCGGUGGAUAAUAAAUCCAUUAUUGUGUUAUGUGAAAGAUGGUGUCCCGAGACAUACACAUUUUGGUUUCCAACCGGUGAGUGUACUGUGACGUUAGAAGACGUCUACAUGCUAUUGGGACUGUCUAUCGAAGGUAAAGCUGUAAAUCAUAAAACCAACUAUGCGAAUUCAAUUUGCAUGGACCUCUUGGAUGCUAAUUUGUUAGAUGAUAACUCAAGAGGUCAAGGUAUACUCCUUUCACGCCUUAAGGCAUACUAUAACAACUUACAUUUAGAUGAACAUUCUACCGAAGAGGCUCGAAUAAUAAAAACUAGGUGUUAUAUUAUACUUUUAAUUGGUUCUUUUUUAUUUCUCGAAGGUAGUGGUUAUAGUAUGCAUGUUAUGUAUUUACCUUUACUAAGACAUGUAGAUAGAAUAGGAAGUUACAACUGGGGAUCCAACCUAUCUUUAUAGCUCUUUGUGUAAAAAUUCACACAAAGACACAUCUACCUUUUCUGGAUGUGCUGUUUUGCUCCAAGAAUGAGGUUGGUCAAGACUACCGUCCCUAGCGCCUGUCAGCAACAACCCAUUCACAUUCCCGUACGCACAAAAGUAAGUUGUUUAAAAUGGUAUAUGUUUACUUACUUUACCGAUUAUAAUCUCUAACUAAUAUUUUUACCUUUAUGGUGCAGAUGGUCGACACGUGGUAUGAGUUAUAACAGAUGUCCUAGACAUUAUAUUAUUCAGUAUCGCAAUCUCUUGGAUCACCUUCGACCGACAGAUGUAUGGAUAAUAACCUAAUUAUUUCGUAAUAAUUUGUUAAUUACUUCUACCAAAUUUAUAAUCUAACAUACAUUCACAUUUCAGUUCAUUUGGCAUCCAUACCUAAAUUUGGAUAAUGACCAUGAAAUCAACGAAGAAGACGCAGCCGUAUGGAUUGCUUGCACACCGAUCAUAAGAUUCACCACUGUGGAGAUGCACAACAAUGAUCGUGUGAAAUUGUAGUUCGGUAUGCUUCAACACAUCCCAGAUCCCCCAACAAACCUAGGAGAAUGACAUCUACGCAAAGUUAACGACCAAUGGAACUUUAACCCAUGGCAAAGCUUCGCUAGAUCUGAGUGUCAUAUGCUUCAACACAUCCCAGAUCCCCCAACAAACCUAGGAGAAUGACAUCUACGCAAAGUUAACGACCAAUGGAACUUUAACCCAUGGCAAAGCUUCGCUAGAUCUGAGUGUCGCAAAUGGAAGCACUGCCAUGACCAUGUCUUAACUGACGUUGUGAUGCCAACUGAAGAAAAACCAAGUCGUACUUAUAUGGCUUGGUACAAAUUAGUUGGUUUUGAGUUCAUCGCCGAGGAUAUGUACCUAUACGACCCACGCCGGGCAACUUACACACCAGACGCCUCAACAUCUAAUCCCUAACAACAUUGUCAGAUCGGCUACACACAACCCCCUAUCCGUCAAACUUUCCGUUCCACAAACACACAAAUAUACAACCCUAACAUGUCAUACACCCAACCACAAUACCAAGAUCAUACCACAUACCACCACCACCAACUAGAUCAUCAACCAGAGACCCAACAUCGCUUCACACCCAACACAUCACCCUACAAAAACCGCCUUAGCCAAAACACUCAACGACCAUUUAACACCAACCGUCCCUCCUCCUACCAAAACCAAGAAGCCCAAAUAUCUCAAAACCAAAACCUUCAACAACCAUAUCUUUACCAAACACCACAAUAAUCUUUCCAACCUUUCAUCGACGCAUCAUUCACACCAAUGUCUCCCUUCAAUCGUUCUGGUCGUCCACCAACAACUCAAACACAACUCAACUACUCUGACAUGGGUCAUAAACUCAGCUAUGGAGAUACACCUUCGAUGCAUACACAAGACUACGUUGAUUUGUCUGACUAUCUCAAUAGGCAAUCUCCUGCAGUUGAUAGUGAUGUUUCUGGGCCCUCAGAUGCUCAAACACCUGGGGUGAAUCAUCAACGUGGAUUUGGGUCAUGGGUUCGGAUAGCUAGGGGAUGUGGGACCGGUGGUCGGUUAGGUGAUCUCGGUCAUCAACAUUAGUCUUUUUUGUGUAAACGAGAUUUAAAAUUACAAAACACACAGAGGUGUCAAUCCAAUUGGCGUCUCCCUUUAACCUUUGCACAUGGGCGCCAAUUGGAUUGACAGCACCAUCUGCCAUAGCCAAUCCAAUUGGCCUCUCCUUUCUAAAUUUAAGAGGAGGCGCCAAUUGCAUUGACGUGUCCUCUUAAAAGUGAGGUAGAUUGUAAAUUUUUUUGAAAUUAGGAUUAUUUUGGAGAAAAAAAUCAAAAUCUGGAAUAUUUUAGUAAAAAAUUCUUAAUUUGUUCCUCAAAUAAAAGUAAUAGUUAAUUAAAGUAAAUUUGAUAUUGUGUAACCCGUGAAAUAAUAU
rnacentral:lncRNA from 1 species